AUAAAGAUAAAUUAUCGUUUAUUAUAACCUGUAUAGUAACUAUAUAUAAUCAAACAUAAGAAGAUUUAUCAUAGCACACUAGUGCGUUUAUUUAUAAUUUCCUAUAGAGCAACAUACAACCAUAAACCAUCGAAAAUAUAUAUAUCUUCAACUUCAUUAUUACUUGCAUAUACCAUUUUUAUCAUCACAAAUACUUUAUAACUAUUUGUUAAAGUUCGUUGUGGAUGCGUCAAAGUUACCCUCAGUGUACCCUCCAUUGCCAUUACCAUGGAAAGUACCACUGUUAUUUACGGUACGCUCGCCAUGAUUGUUGGUGGUGCGGUGUUUCUCUCGGUCCCCAGAAUUUGAACCGCUGUUGAUUUUGGCACCGGAGAAAUUUUGGUUCCCGCCGCCAUGGUUGUUAAAUGCGUCAGCAGUACCAUGGUUGUUGGAUUUCGCAGCUUCGGCUUCUUCAGCCUCAAGCAUGGCGAUGAGUUUCUUGAGCACACGAGAUGACAUUCUUAUAAUCUUACUUAAAUAUUGCUAUUAGAAUUUUUGUGUUUGGAUGGUGUUAAUGUUGCAACUAAAACCUUAUUAUAUAGAUGUAAGGAAAGGAAUCUGAUGCGUUUGCUUGCUUGUUCACUCGAAACUAUACAGAAUAUUGUUUCUUACCUUUUAUUUCUAAGAAUAUUGAUUUUUUUUUUAUUGUAAAAUAAUUUACUAAAAUUAUGUUGAGAUUAAAAUACUCAAGUAAAAUAUAUGAGAUGAUUAAAAUAGUCAGUAAAAUACUCAAAGGAGUUUUCUGUUUUCAUGGCUAUAAUCUUUUUUUUUCAACAAUCUUUUGUGCAUCGACUCACAACUCCUAGUAUUUUAAGGUUGAAGGCGUUUACAAGAGAUAGUGAUGAAUCGAUAGUAUAAAUCUUUUUAUAUUGACAAUGCAUAGUAAUUAAUCUCUUUUAAAUAAGAUUUAAUUAAAAUAUACUCACAAUGUAAAAGAAUUUUACACUGCCAGUUAAUCUUAAACGUUGGAUAUUGAAAUAAGUUUGACUUUUAUUUUAAAAAUCUAUAAAGUAAUUCAAAUGAAUGAUGAUGAUGAAUCGAUAGUGUAAAUCUUUUUACACUGACAGUGCCUAGUAAUUAAUCUCUUUUGAAUAUUUUUCAUAUAAAUUAAGAGUGUCUUAUUUACGAAGUACUAAAAUGUAUGUAUAAAAAAUGAGUCCAAAGAUGCAUAUUCGGACACUAAAGAUAGUCGUGAAUUUUCACAAGGGUGGUGGGAUACCUAUAAGAGUGAAAGUGACAACCCCUAAAAAAACAUCCAUAACAAAGACACGUCGCUAAUUUAAACCGUCACUACGAAUGUCUAAGAGAAAAUUUUGAGCAUGUAUUUUUAUUUUAUUUUUGGAUAAUAUCAAAUUUUACUUCCAUAUUUUUUUUUUCUAGAAACACCUACUCGCUAAAAACAUGGUUGGCUUUAGGAGGACGAUGUAUUUUCAAUUAAACUACUAAGAUCGAAAUAUGGAACCAUCAUUAAGCCAUCCAAAGCCAUAUCAAAAUCUCCAUAUAAUAAAUCAAAAUAUAUCUCAAUAUAUAAUUUUGUAAUUCCCUUAAAAGCUACAAAAACUUAUGAGGUCACUCCUCCUUCACAUUCCAAACCUAAUCCCUCAACUCUAAUAGAAAACAAAGUUAUCCUCCACCAAAUUGAGAUUUUUUUUACUCCGAUGCUCUACUUUUGAAACAAAAUUUUCUAAUUGUCCCACUUUGAAAAUAAAACCUCUAGUUAUCCCAUUUAAUGAAGGGACUCGGCUAUUGAAUAGUUGAGGGUACACUAAAUUUAUUUAAAUGUCGAUCAAUGAAUGGAGGAGACCAUUAAUGUUAUAUUAUUUUUUAUAUUUUUUUUGUUUAUUUGAUCUCUUUGACUCCUCCACCAUUGAAAGAUCGAACUCUUUCUUUCAAAAUUUCACUUCCUACUCCGGGCCAAUGAAAGACUGAGCUUGUUCAAAAAAAGAGAACAGUUAAAUAUUUCUUUUUUAAUUUGAGAUAUUUUAGAAUUUAAAUUUCAAAAAAGGGACAUUGAGGUGAAAAAGUCCUAAAUUAAAGUUUUUUAAGAUAAAGACCUCCACCAACUAUUUCUCAAAAGAAAUAAAUGACAAUUUUCAUUGAAAAUCUCUCAAUAAAACCUCUAUCUUGAGGUAACAUCUCCUCAAAGAAAUUCAUCACAAACAUUGGUCUUCCAAUGUCCGAAGAAACAACUCCUACGAAGUUUAUUGGCAUAACAUAAAGUUCCAAAGAUAGCACUCCUCAUCCUCAUCCUCCAUCUUCCUUCUAGACAUGAGCUAACAAAUAGAGUAAUUUAACAUAAUUUAACAUAAAAGAUUUCUUGCUAGAAUACUCAAAUUGAUAUGUAUAUUAUUUAGUGGGUUCGAAAACUAUGUAUACCCCAUGAUGUCUCUACGAUUUAAAGCAAUUGAGAAUAGUUAUAAAAUAUUUAAAAAUAUAUAUAAGGUAGGAUUUAUUAUAUAUAAUAAUAUUCUUUUAGUUUCUUAAAAAUCAAAUAAAUAUUAAAAUAUAGUUUAGUCCUUAAAAAUACUCCCCUCCAAACAAAUUCAAUCCUACUUGUAAGGGAAAGAAUCAAGUGCUACUUGGUCAAUCGAGGAUAUGGUUCGAUAAUUUAAUAUAAACACCAAACAAGUAGGAUUAGUUUUGAUGUGAAAAAGUUUAGGAGAAUACAUCCAUCAUGAAGUGCAUCUCGUGCAACAAGUUCAUUCCUAUCCGCAUUUGUACCGCAUCAUAAAUAAGUAUCCGCAGGGUAUUGGUUAUUAUUAUAUUAAAUUUUAUAAAAUUUAAAAUAAAAAAUAUAUUUUAUUAAUUAAUUAAUAUAAUAUAAAAUUUAUAUGAUACAAAAUAAAAUUAGAAAACAUAAAUAAUAAAAAAUAUUGUUUGUCAUUAAAUGAUUAUACAUUUUCAACAUAAUGAAUUGAAUGAUUAUAUAUAGUAAUCAAGAUUUUGUUUUGAAAAAAAUGUACUAAAUCAUUUAUAAAUAUUUGUCUCAAUUUUUAUAUAUUAAUUAAAGACAAAAGUUUGAUAUCGUGUUUUUUUUUUAUGAUUAUCGAUGAUAAAGUUGUUAAGGUUUUCUUUAGUAUUAUUCAGUGAAAAAUAAAUGACACUUAUUUUUAAUAUCCAUUCAAUAUAUGAAUUAUAAAUGUUAAUGGUUUUUUUGUGAGUGAUUUUUAAAAAAGUAUAAAAAGUUGAAGUAUGAAAAGUUAUAGUUAAUAUAUUAUAAUUAUAUUCAUUUUUAUGUUGAUGAUAUUAAUGUUUUUUUUUAAUUUUAACUAAUUUGUAAUCUCAAAGAAUAGUCUUGUGUAACAUUUUACAAUAAACUUUAAGUAUAAUCUAAUUAAUCAAUUUUUCAUUAAAAAGAUAGUUUAAUAUAAAAAAAUGUUAAAAUAAUUUAAAUGCAAAAAAAAUAUGUUUAGUGUAUUUAAUCAUUCUAAAAUGUUGGUGUAUUGUAUUUACUCAUAUUUUAAUGACAAUGAUAUUAAACAAAUAUUAAUUUAAAUAAUUUUUCAAUCAUAAAUAUUUACCUGUGAAUUUUAAUAAUAAACUAUAGUUAGUUUAUUAUAGUUAUUCUAAUUUUUAAUUGGAAAAUAAAAAAUUAUUUAAUUAAUUAGUGAUAAAAAAAUUCCACCUCAUUUAUAAAUUAUAUGUUUUAACUAUACUCUUUAGCGAUUUAUUGGGAGAAAAAUAUUAAAAAUAAUGAAUAGCAUAAAAGUUAUAAUAGAUGUUCUAACUAUAUUUUUUGUAAUAAGUUAUAAUUAAUAAAUUAUAUAUAUUGUUUUUAUAUCAUAUUUUAAAUUAAUUAAUUAAUAAUAAAUAAUCAUUCUAUAUAUUAACAAUACUCUUUAACGAUUAAUUAAAAAAUAUGAAAUUAAAAUAAUAAAUAAUAUAUAAAAAUAAAACUAUUCUUACAAAUGAACAUAGAUGUAACAAUUAUUUUAAUAUUAAAAUUGAAAGAAGAAAAAACACAUGUCGAUCAUUAGAAGAGGUUAAAAACAUACAUGUGAUAGUCAUUUGUUUAUAUAUAUAUAUAUAUAUAUAUAUUACUUUAAUGAUUUUUUUAUUAUUAAAUAAUCGAUAUAUUACAAAAUAUAUUUUGUUAUUCUGGAUAUCGAAACUAUCUAAUGUUGAUCUAAUGAUCUAUAUUUCAAUGUAUUUUAUGCAAUUUAGCACAAAGAUGAUCAAUUUUAUAACUUGAGAAAGUGAUAUAAAAUUUAGUUGUUGAAGCCAAGAUUAACAAAUACUGUAAAUAUUUCCUUUGUUCAAUAGUCAAACCAAUUCUCUUUCUAGUGAAAAUAUCACCUUCCUAUCAUGGGCCUAUAUGGCUUAGGCUUUUUUGGUUUAUAAUAGUAGUUAAAUUGAGCCUUAUCAAAGACAGAAUUGUCGAAAAUAUAUUUCAACUCAAAAUGAAAUAAAUAUUUUAUUAAAUAUUUAGCCUCAUAACAUAAAAACAAAAUGAGAUUUAUCAUAGAUAAUUAACUAACGUUUAUUAAAAUAUGUAAAAGCAAUUAUAGAUAAUCAAACAUAAGGAGAUUUAUCAUAGCACACUAGUGCGUUUAUUUUUAAUUUCCUAUACAGCAACAUACAACCAUAAACCAUCGAAAAUAAAUAUAUCUUCAACUUCAUUAUUAGUUGCAUAUACCAUUUUUAUCAUCACAAAUACUUUAUAACUAUUUGUUAUAGUUCGUUGUGGAUGCGUCAAAGUUCCCCUCAGUAUACCCUCCAUUGCCAUUACCAUGGAAAGUUCCACGGUUAUUUAUGGUACGGUUACCAUGAUUGUUGGUGGUGCGAUAUUUCUUUCGGUCCCCGGCAUUUGAACCGCUGUUGAUUUUGGCACCGGAGAAGUUUUGGUUCCCACCGCCAUGGUUGUUAAAUGCGUGAGCAGUACCGUGGUUGUUCGAUUUUGCAGCUUCGGCUUCUUCAGCCUCAAGCAUGGCGAUGAGGUUUUUGAGCACAUGAGAUGACAUUCUUAUGACCUUACUCGAAAAAUGCUAUGAAACCUUCAGUAUUUUUGUAUUUGGAUGGUGUUAAUGUUGCAACCAAAACAUUAUUAUAUAGAUGAAUGGAUAGGAAUAUGAUGCUUUUGCUUGUUUUUCACGCGAAAUUAGAUAGAACAUUGCAGCUUACUUUAUUAUAAUUUUAAGAAUUUUGCUUUUUUUUAUAAUAGCAAAAUAAAAUAUAAUAAAAAUAAAUGAGGAAUAAACUUCUCAAUAAAGCAUAUGCGAGGGGAUUUUAGAUAUAGCACAAAAUGUGCUCAGUUGAACACACUAAAAAAAACAAGGAUGCAUCAAACAAGAAAGCAACAAAAGUAUAUAAAAAAAAAGUAAAAAUUAAUAAGCAAUUCCAAAACUACACCGAAAAAAUAGCCAUAUACGUAUAAUUUUUAUUAACAAACAAAAAAAUCAUCAACAACGUACUAAAAAACAUACAAUAUUUCAACUUAUAAAAUGUUUCACAAUAUUUCAACUUAUAAAAUGUUUCACAAACGUAUUUUUUAUUGAAAAGAUUUGUGGAUGAUAAAGACGAAGAAAUGAACUAUUUGUCUCAGAAUGACAUCCAUAAUCAAAGGAGGGUGAAAUUGAAGUCAAAGCUACAAACUUGUAUUAAAUUUGAAUGGAUGUCAUUAUUGAUCUUUCAUAGCAACUUUCACUUUUACUUCAUCCUCCUUAAAUUUUUUCUUCAUAGUAUGGGAUUUCUUGAGAUAAUUUUUUUCAUUCUCCUUCCCUAUCUACAAAACAAAAUGAAUUAGCAUGAUACUCUAAUUAUAAAAGAUGCAAAAAGUUUACUUCUAAUCCAUACACGACUAUAAUCUAUAAACCAACAGUAUUGUCACUUUUAUAAUCUUCAUUAAUGCUUUCUUGAACAUACACUUCUAUAAUCUCCAUUAACAUUUUUUUUAACAAAUGACAUGUUAAUCAAAUUUGAAAACAUAAACUAUUGAUCCAACGGAAAAAAAAAACAUAAGCUUGUAAUGUAGUAAAUACCAUAAAAGAAGCUUCGGAUAAAUAAGAAGUCUUGUGAAGAUUAGCAUGUAACGCAACCAUUUCCUAAUAUAUGAUAAAGUUAAAUCACACUUCGUAACCUUUGAUGCAACAAAGAUAACCUUUCGAAGAAGAUGAAUUCGCUGCAUGUGGGUUUUCAAGGUCAAGGAAAAUAGGUUUGGUGUUUCCAUCUUGCUGUGAAGAAAUGGUGUGGAAACAUUAAUGGCGAUUAGGAUAAGGCGUAAGAAAGAUAUUAGGGUUUUACUUUAAAAAAGAUGAAUGUUAGUGUAAUAUCCAUCAUCCUCAAAGAGACACGUUGAAAUAUUGAUUAUGAAUGCAUUAAUCACAUCCUUAUUUAAUUGUUUUAAUUUGUUGUUGUCAUGUUUCAUGACACGAAUCUGCAGAGUCCUCCAAGACAAUUACUACUGCAGAUGUCAAUCAGUUUGUCGACGAUAUUAAGAAUAAGCGCCCGCGUAUAAAGUGAUGAAGAAGAUGGACAAUUCAACAAAGUGAUGAAGAAGAUGGACUAGAAGACAAGAUCAAAUGUCAGGAACAAGUCAUUCGACAUCAACAAAAAUCAGGAAUUUGGGAGAAGGCCCAAAACUGAAGAAAAAACUAACCAAGCAAAAGGAAUCCAAUGUCAUGGAUGUGAAGGGUUUGGACACAUAAGAUUUGAGUGCCCCACUUAUCUCAAGAAUCGGAAGAAGGGUCUGUCUGUGUCAUGGUCAGAAGAUGAUUCUGAAAGUGAUCCUGAAGUGGAGCCCGCCAAACAGGUUACUGCCUUGACUGGUAUUUGUGAUUCUGAUGAAGAAUCAGAUUGUGAGGAACUCACUUUUGAGUAACUUGUAGAGUCUUACAAGGAGUUGUGCCUCAGAAAUGAAGAAGUAUGUCAAUUGGGAGAAGAUCAAAAGAAAGUUAUUGCUCAACUACAGGCUGAAAAAGUGGAACAUCUAUCUAUCAUCUCUGAUUUGAAGGAUGAAGUUGUUAUGCUCAAUUCAAGACUUAACAAUAUGACUAAGUAUGUAAGAAUGCUUAACAGUAGCUCUGAUGUGCUGGAUGAGAUUCUUCAAACUGGUAAGAAUGUUGGAAAUGUUCAAGGUCUUGUAAUGAUAAUCAAGGAUGAACAAAGGAAAAGGGUCUGCAAUGAAUUUUCUUCAACCUAAAAGAAAACAGGAUGAAAAUAUGUCAAAUCAGACGUCCCAACAUCAAUAAAGACAUCAGGAUGAUUACUCAGGAAGCAAGACCCAACGAUGGAAAUGUCAUCAUUGUGGGAGGUUUGGUCACAUAAAGCCCUAUUGCUACAAACUAUAUGGCUAUCCCAAACCUCAGACUAUUGUUAAAGCAAAGAAAAAGUGGAUUCCCAGAAAUGACACUUCUAGACUCAUAUAUCACACCUCCCUCAGAGCCUCUGCUAGAGAGAAUUGGUAUUUCGAUAGUGGUUGUUAUAGACACAUGAUUGGUGUCAAUAAAUUCUUGGUGGAUAUUAAAUUAUAUUCCACUGGCUAUGUCACCUUUGGAGAUGGAUCAAAAGGUGAAAUAAAGGGUGUUGGAAAGUUGGACUAUCCUGGACUGCCUAGUGUUGAUGAUGUACUGUUUGUUAAAGGGAUGACUGCUAGUUUGAUAAGUAUUAGUCAACUAUGUGACCAAGGUCUCAAAGUUAACUUUAGUAAAUCUGAAUGCAGGGUAAUAAAUUAGAAGAAUGUAGUUAUCAUGAAGGGAGCCAGAUCUAAAGAUAACUGAUAUCUAUGGACUCCUCAAGAAACAAUUUUUUUCUCCGCAUGCUUAAUGUCAAAAGAAGAUGAGGCUAAGAUAUGGCAUCCAAAGCUUGGUUACUUACAUCUGAAAGGGGUGAAGAAAGUUCUGCCAAAAGAUGCAUUCAGACGUAUUCCCAAGCUGAAUAUUGAUGAAGGAAGAAUCUCUGGUGAAUGUCAAAUUGGAAAGAAAACAAAGGUGUCACAUAAGAACCUCCAAUAUCUGACCACUUCAAAAGUUCUGGAGCUAAUUCAUAUGGACUUGAUGGGACCUAUACAGGUUGAAAGUCUUGGAGGAAAGAGAUAUGCCUAUGUUGUUAUUGAUGACUUCUCAAGGUUCACCUGGGUGAAUUUCAUCAAAGAGAAGUCUGAAGUGUUUUAAGUAUUUAAAGAACUUUGUCAAAAGAUUCAAAGAGAGAAGGAUUGUGGUAUUGUCAGAAUUAGAAGUGACCAUGGAAAGGAAUUUGAGAAUAGCAAGUUUGAUGAAUUCUGCACUUCUGAAGGGAUUAGUCAUGAGUUCUCUUCACCCAUCACCCCUUAACAGAAUGGUGUGGUUGAGCGCAAGAAUGGGACUAUUCAAGAAUGUGCCAUGGUCAUGCUUCGUGCUACGAAACUACCAUAUCAUUUUUGGGCUAAAGCCAUGAACAUUGUUUGUUAUAUCCUUAAUAGAUUGACUAUCAGAUCUGGUUUUUCUUCUACACUUUAUGAACCGUGGAAAGGAAGAAAGUGAACUGUGAAAUAUUUACAUGUAUUUGGAAGUAGAUGUUAUAUUCUGGAAGAUCGUGAGCAGAAGGGAAAAAUGGAUCCUAAAAGUGAUUAGGGAAUUUUUCUAGGAUAUUCUACAAACAGUAUAGCAUACAGAGUAUUCAACUCUAGAACCAAGGUGAUGAUGGAAUCCAUAAACAUAUUUGUGGAUGACUCAACUAAAGAAGAUGAUGUCACAUAUGAAGUUGAAACAUCUAUGAAUGAUGUUCCUGAAGAUGUUGCAGACUCAAGUACUAAUAUUGAACCUGCAGAGACUGAGUCAACUGACAAUGGACCUUCCAUCAGAAUUCAGAAAGAUCAUCCUAAGGAGCUUAUAAUAGGAAAUCUAAAUGAAAGGAUAAUUACCAGAUCAAGGGAAGUUAUGUCAAAUGCUUAUUUUGUUUCUAAAUUUGAACCCAAGAAUACCAAGGAGGCCUUGAUUGAUGAGUUUUGGAUUAAUGCUAUGCAAGAUGAACUCGGCCAAUUCAAAAGAAAUGAGGUUUGGGAUUUGGUACCAAGACCUGAAGGGACAAAUGUUAUUGGUACCAGAUGGUUGUACAAGAACAAGUCAGGUGAACAAGGGGUUGUUACCAGAAACAAAGCCAAACUUGUUCCUCAAGGAUACACUCAAAUGGAAGGAGUGGACUUUGAUGAAACAUUUGCUCAUGUGGCUCGCUUGGAGUCUAUAAGAUUGCUACUUGGAAUGGCAUGCCUUUUAAAGUUCAAGUUGUUAUAAAUGGAUGUUAAAAGUGCCUUUUUAAAUGGGUAUUUAAAUGAAGAUGUGUAUGUUGAAGAACCAAAAGGAUUUUUUGAUCCUACUUUCCUAAAUCAUGUGCUCAAACUAAAGAAGGCAUUGUAUGGUUUAAAACAAGCUCCAAGAGCAUGGUAUGAAAGGUUGACUGAGUUUCUCAUCAACCAUGGAUAUAGGAAGGGUGGAAUUGAUAUGACUCUCUUUGUCAAAGAGAAGGAUGGAAAACUUAUGAUUGCCCAGAUUUAUGUGGAUGAUAUUGUAGUUUGAGGGAUGUCAUAUGAUAUGGUCCAGCAUUUUGUCAAGCAAAUGCAAUCUGAGUUUGAAAUGAGUUUGGUAGGUGAAUUAACUUACUUUCUUGGACUCCAAGUCAAACAGAUGGAAGACUCCAUUUUUCUUUGUCAAAGCAAAUAUGCAGAGAAUAUUGUGAAGAAAUUUGGAUUGGAGAAUGCUAGUCACAAAAGAACUCUUACUCCUACUCACUUGAAGUUAUCCAAAGAUAAAAAGGGUGUAAAUGUUGAUCAGAGUUUAUAUAGAAGCAUGAUUGGUAGUCUUCUAUACCUUACAGCAAGCAGACCAGAUAUAACUUUUGUUGUUGGAGUUUGUGCUAGAUAUCAAACAGAACCCAAAGUAAGUCAUAUCAAUCAAGAAAAAAGGAUUCUGAAGUAUGUGAAUGGCACAUGUGAGUAUGAAAUGUUGUAUUCUCAUGAUUAAAAUUCCAUGUUAGUAUGGUAUUGUGAUGCUGAUUGGGAUGGUAGUGCGAAUGACAUGAGGAGUACCUCCAAAGGAUGUUUCUUUUUGGGAAACAAUUUGAUUUCAGGGUUCAGCAAGAAACAUAAUUGUGCAUCCCUAUCUACUGCUAAAGUUGAGUACAUAGCAGUAGGUAGCAGCUGCUCUCAACUAAUGUGGAUGAAACAAAUAAUGACUGAAUAUAAUGUUAUACAGGAUGUCAUGACAUUAUUCUUUGACAACUUGAGUGCUAUUAAUAUCUCCAAAAACCCUAUUCAACAUAGUAGGACUAAACAUAUUGACAUCAGACAUCAUUUUAUUAGAGAACUUGUUGAAGACAAAGUCAUAACACUUAAGCACGUUAGCACUGGAAAUUGGCUUGCUGACAUUUUUACCAAAGCCUUGGAUGUAGUUCAGUUUAAAAAAUUAAGAGGAAAACUUGGGAUUUGUGUUAAUGAGCACUUAUAGCAACUACAACUAUUUAAGUGUGUCAGACAGGUUUUUAACUAUCAUCAUUACACAAGACACGCUUCUCUAAACGCAUUACUCCACUAUGUAUCAUUUUGGAAAAAAAAUACGCUACCCAUUUUAUUCAAACAUUUCAUUCCCCUCCAGAAAUCUAUGCUCACCUUCUAUCAAGUGUCUUUCCCAAUUCCAUCUGUAUCAAGUGUUACCUAAGAUGUCAAAACAAUCUUCACCCAAGCACAUGCAUGUCUCAACUGAAACUAGUGGAUCAUCAUCCCCAAUUGCUAGGGAAGAUGAACCAUUUCAAAUGAUCAAUCUGUCUGAAAUUGUCUUUGAUGUUGCUCCCUGUUGGUUGUAAUUUUAAGUGUCGGGUUUUUGUUAUCGUAUCCACAGGGAUUGUAAGAUAUCACCGCUGUUCGAUGGUUGUAUUAAUCUUAGCUUAAGUAACACAGGGGGUUUUGGUUUUAAUCACGUUAUCUUGCAUAAAAAGGUAAUACAAUGCGGUAAAAGUUUGAUUUGAAUAUUUGAGAAAUAUUGUCCCAAAGUUAAGGGUUCAACACAAUCGCUUUGCAUGUUUUUGUUCGGUCAACAAUAUUAAUAAAUCCUCUUUAGAUGAUAAUUAUUCACAAAUCCUCCCAAUGUGUUUCUCUCGAACACCACAUAUGUGAGUUUUCCCAUUUUGAUCGAUUGUUUAUCUCAUAACACACCUAUCAAAAUGACAACUUUUUGGUUCAACCUAUUGGUGAACAAAUCAUUCAUUACUAAUCUCUAGCAACAAACAAGAUUGGAUGAACCUAGGUUAAGAGUUUGUAAACAUCUCUCGAUCAAUAACCAACACAAAGAGUUUUGAAUAAGAACAAAGUUUUCAUCAUAUAUUCACCAUUAAAGAGUUUACACAUGAAGAUCCUUACAUUUACACACAAAGUUAAUGAUCAUAUACAUCUAACCUUGACAAAUGGAGGACUUAGCUACUCAUUUUCAUGGUAGCUUGUCGGCAAGUUUCGGAAGAAGGUUGAUCAACACCGAGUCGAAUAAUCGGAGAUUGGAUGAGAAUCCACCUUCUUUUUUUGUAAAAGAUGGUUAAGAGAUGAAAGGAAAUGAAAUUUAGGCACAAAAGAUUCCAAGAACAAAUGCCGUUUAAAAUAGCUUUAGAAAAACGUUGUAAAAUAUGCGAAAACUAGGUAUGGCCUUCUCAAAGUGGCAUUGCUACUUAUAGCAGCUGUACUGCGCUGUCACGCUCAGCUUAGGCGAGCAGAGUGGCUCGCCUAGCGAGGGUCUAAUGAUGAGGCCACAGAGCAGGCCACCUGCGCGCCGAGAGAACACACGUCUAUCUCAGACUGUUCAUGUUUGCCCUAUGCGAACAAACCUUCGCCUAGCGAAGGACACGCUUCAACCUUCGCCCAGCGAAGGUUGAGAGGUUUUUGCUACUGAAUGCUGCGCUGGGGACCGCUAGAGCCUCGCCUAGCGAGUGAGUGCUGGCUGCGCUUUUCACCAAAAACUGAACGAAACUCGUUCCACCUUGCAAAAAAAAAAUAUAGCGCUCCGCCUAGCGAAUUUAUUGACAUUUUUAACUGGAGCUUUUCGCUGGGCGCGCGCACUAGCGAGUGCUUCGCCACAAGCCCAUCUGCCUAGCGAGCAGGCUGAUGAAUGCUUGUUUUAUCUUGAUCCCUUUGCCAAAUUUCUUGUGUCCUCACUUCUAAUUAUUUCAUCCUACUUCCUGCACAAUAACACACAAAUCCAAAGUACCAAGAUCGUUAUUAUCGUUUUAAAUUGCAUUUCCAUCUGAAACAAGGUGGUUUCGACAUUUUAGCAGGACAAUAGAGUGAAAGAAUGCCCCUAUGAUAGCCUAAAUAAAGCAAACUUUUGGGCAUCUAAACAACUCUCCCCAACUAGAUCUUGCUUGUCCUCAAGCAAAGUAGCCCUUGAAGGACAAGAAGGAUAUUUGCUUUAAAGAAAAAAAGGUUUCUCCGAGUUGGAAUAAAACGGCUCAAACACAAGCGAAUCAGCAUAUACAAGUUUUUCCAACGGUUCGAAUAAAAUAUACACAAAAGAAACUAAAACUUAAUAAGCUAUGCGAAAUAUUUACUAUCUACAACAAUAAAUAUUCUGAAUGAAUCACGCCAUAUUUCUCCUCUUCGAAUAAAGGAAUGAAGAAAUUUUUACGCCGUUUGCUAACCGCGGGAAUAAUCUCAACCUCUUAACAAAUAAUGAAGAAAAUCAAUUCGAUUCAUGCAAUUGUCUAAAAUUAUAAAAUGGUAAUGUGGAAGCAACGAAGAUCACUAGGGCUUUUCCGGUUGAAGCUUGGUCAGGUUUAAAACAAACAAAGGGUCAAUUUCUAGGCCAUGGAAAAACCGAAAUUGCCGAUGCCAAAAAGAGUACAUUCACUGUACACCAUAUCACACAUCUCGACUUCGUUCCAAUUUGUUUCUUUAUUGAAACCUUCCACAACUCUUAUUUGACAACUCAAUUUUAUUUUUCACUAUUUUUCUUCCAAAGCAAGCAUUUUAUUUCAUUCUUUCUAUUUUGUUUUUUUUCUUUCACUGCAUAUUUACAAAACAGAUGUUUCUUUUCCUAUAUUUUAUUUCAAAUGCUUGCCUUGGUUUUAUCAUUUUUUUUUUCAAAGAGUUGUGGAACCUAUACGCGGAUUCUCCCCCAACUUAAUUUCUUACUCACCCUAAGUGAAUGCUUUAAUUUUUAACGGCCAAAAGAACUAAUAAUCAAGAUUUUCGCGGGUUGGUAAACAAAAAGAUUUUUUGAAUCUCGCUUAUUUCAAGCAGAGAUUCAAGCUGUUAAGCUCAAAGGGGUUUAACGAAUAACUCUCUCUGCUCACAGGUAAGUUGUUUCUUUGGAUGUUGUUAUGGCUCGAAUAAGAACAAGUGCCUUGAUCAUUCUAAAUUACAUUCCGCACAUAUUCAAAAAUAAUAAAAGAACAAGGCAUGAUCAAAUGAAAUCAACAAAACUUAUGAAUCCAGCAUUAAGUUGGUAGCAAUGGAGGUUUCCAUCACAAUUUUGGUUUUACAGUCCUAGAUGAAAAACAUUCCAUUCAAUAUGUUGCAAAAAGAAAAAAUAUUCAAUUUACCAAAAAGAGUAAAGUUUCUUAAUGACAUUCUAAAAAUUCUAGCCGGAGGUAACCAUGUUACCUUAGCCUCAUUCACUGUUGUUUAUUCUUAUCAAUUUGCCAUCCUAAGCUCGGAUGCACCUUUCAUCUGGGUUUACUUUCUUAUGAGGAGCAACCCAAUCUUAGAAGGUUUGCCACUCAAUCAACCCCAAAAAGUUAUUAAACAAACAAAUUAAAAACAUAAAUAAAUACAACAUUUGAAAAAUUAAAUUUGUUCAUGGGGGACAAAACACCCCAAAUAGUACAAAACAAAUCAAAUACACGAAUGCAAAUACAAUAGAAAUAAACAUAAAAACUGAAAAAAUACAAAACCUAAACCUCUACAGGGCAUCAGACAAUCCUCCUCGCUAACGCGGACCUCAGAACCGUAGCCUCUCAUCCUCAGCAUCAUCAUCAAUGCCAUCAGCUGCAGCAAGCAACCCGAAGACGCACCAGCGCCCGCCCCCUCACCAUAGCACAGGCCUGUCCCAGGCCAGUUGGCGUUAAGCAGAAAACUGCUCCACCGCGUCCAUCAAGCAUGAGCACCACUUCCCUGCAGCUGUAACCGCUGCAUAGAGUCGUGCAUAUCUAUCAUGGCACGCUGGGAUGCCGCCAUCCAUUCAAAACUGAAAUCACACACAGCCUGCAGGUAAGGAUCUGGCCCAGGAGUAGAAGUACCAGGACCAUCAAAAGCCCGGGUACUCUCUGCAGCUGCACUGCCUCUGGCAUUCUUCGCUCUACAAUAUUUGGCCACGUACCGGUCAUCGAUAGGUGGCGGGAUUCUGACCUGACCCCGAGACGAUAAUUUCACCUUUGCCUGAAUGCACAAACGCAUGAUCAAGCACGGGAAAGCUAGGGGACAAUUCACACGAGCCCCCGACUUUAGCCCGCUCUCAAUCACUGACUUAAGCUCAUUAGCGAUGAUCCUCGCCACAUCGAUCUGGACGUUGGAGAGGAUACUGUGAACCAAAUGUGCCACUGGGAUCGGCACUAUAGAGGUGUGGGACUUUGGCUGGAUGUUUGUCAGAACCAAAAGCAGAAUCAGUUGAGCCAAGGGAGUCAUGUCCUCCCUAAAAUUCUCCCCGGCAACGGCGCCAUUUUGUUGGUUGUAAUUUUAAGUGUCGGGUUUUUGUUAUCGUAUCCACAGGGAUUGUAAGAUAUCACCGCCGUUCGAUGGUUGUAUUAAUCUUAGCUUAAGUAACACAGGGGGUUUUGGUUUUAAUCACGUUAUCUUGCAUAAAAAGGUAAUACAAUGCGGUAAAAGUUUGAUUUGAAUAUUUGAGAAAUAUUGCCAAAGUUAGGGUUCAACGAUCACUUUGCAUGUAUUUGUUCGGUCAACAAUCUUAUAAACUCCUUUAGAUGAUAAAUUAUUUCACAAAGUCCUCCCAAUGUGUUUCUCUCGAACACACAUUGUGAGUUUUCCCAUUUUGAUCGAUUGUUUAUCUCUAACACAACCUAUCAAAAUGACAACUUUUUGGUUCAACCUUAUGGUGAACAAAAUCAUUCAUUACUAUCUCUAGCUAACAAACAAGAUUGGAUGAAAACCUAGGUUAAGAGUUGGUAAACAUCUCUCGAUCAUAAACCAACACAAAGAGUUUUNNNNNNNNNNNNNNNNNNNNNNNNNNNNNNNNNNNNNNNNNNNNNNNNNNNNNNNNNNNNNNNNNNNNNNNNNNNNNNNNNNNNNNNNNNNNNNNNNNNNNNNNNNNNNNNNNNNNNNNNNNNNNNNNNNNNNNNNNNNNNNNNNNNNNNNNNNNNNNNNNNNNNNNNNNNNNNNNNNNNNNNNNNNNNNNNNNNNNNNNNNNNNNNNNNNNNNNNNNNNNNNNNNNNNNNNNNNNNNNNNNNNNNNNNNNNNNNNNNNNNNNNNNNNNNNNNNNNNNNNNNNNNNNNNNNNNNNNNNNNNNNNNNNNNNNNNNNNNNNNNNNNNNNNNNNNNNNNNNNNNNNNNNNNNNNNNNNNNNNNNNNNNNNNNNNNNNNNNNNNNNNNNNNNNNNNNNNNNNNNNNNNNNNNNNNNNNNNNNNNNNNNNNNNNNNNNNNNNNNNNNNNNNNNNNNNNNNNNNNNNNNNNNNNNNNNNNNNNNNNNNNNNNNNNNNNNNNNNNNNNNNNNNNNNNNNNNNNNNNNNNNNNNNNNNNNNNNNNNNNNNNNNNNNNNNNNNNNNNNNNNNNNNNNNNNNNNNNNNNNNNNNNNNNNNNNNNNNNNNNNNNNNNNNNNNNNNNNNNNNNNNNNNNNNNNNNNNNNNNNNNNNNNNNNNNNNNNNNNNNNNNNNNNNNNNNNNNNNNNNNNNNNNNNNNNNNNNNNNNNNNNNNNNNNNNNNNNNNNNNNNNNNNNNNNNNNNNNNNNNNNNNNNNNNNNNNNNNNNNNNNNNNNNNNNNNNNNNNNNNNNNNNNNNNNNNNNNNNNNNNNNNNNNNNNNNNNNNNNNNNNNNNNNNNNNNNNNNNNNNNNNNNNNNNNNNNNNNNNNNNNNNNNNNNNNNNNNNNNNNNNNNNNNNNNNNNNNNNNNNNNNNNNNNNNNNNNNNNNNNNNNNNNNNNNNNNNNNNNNNNNNNNNNNNNNNNNNNNNNNNNNNNNNNNNNNNNNNNNNNNNNNNNNNNNNNNNNNNNNNNNNNNNNNNNNNNNNNNNNNNNNNNNNNNNNNNNNNNNNNNNNNNNNNNNNNNNNNNNNNNNNNNNNNNNNNNNNNNNNNNNNNNNNNNNNNNNNNNNNNNNNNNNNNNNNNNNNNNNNNNNNNNNNNNNNNNNNNNNNNNNNNNNNNNNNNNNNNNNNNNNNNNNNNNNNNNNNNNNNNNNNNNNNNNNNNNNNNNNNNNNNNNNNNNNNNNNNNNNNNNNNNNNNNNNNNNNNNNNNNNNNNNNNNNNNNNNNNNNNNNNNNNNNNNNNNNNNNNNNNNNNNNNNNNNNNNNNNNNNNNNNNNNNNNNNNNNNNNNNNNNNNNNNNNNNNNNNNNNNNNNNNNNNNNNNNNNNNNNNNNNNNNNNNNNNNNNNNNNNNNNNNNNNNNNNNNNNNNNNNNNNNNNNNNNNNNNNNNNNNNNNNNNNNNNNNNNNNNNNNNNNNNNNNNNNNNNNNNNNNNNNNNNNNNNNNNNNNNNNNNNNNNNNNNNNNNNNNNNNNNNNNNNNNNNNNNNNNNNNNNNNNNNNNNNNNNNNNNNNNNNNNNNNNNNNNNNNNNNNNNNNNNNNNNNNNNNNNNNNNNNNNNNNNNNNNNNNNNNNNNNNNNNNNNNNNNNNNNNNNNNNNNNNNNNNNNNNNNNNNNNNNNNNNNNNNNNNNNNNNNNNNNNNNNNNNNNNNNNNNNNNNNNCUAGCGAGCAGGCUGAUGAAUGCUUGUUUUACUUGAUCCCUUUGCCAAAUUUCUUGUGUCUUCACUUUCUAUUAUUUCAUGCCUACUUCCUGCACAAUAACACACAAAUCAAAGGUACCAAGAUCGUUUAUCAUUUAAUUGCAUUUCAUCUGAAACAAAGGUGGUUUCGACAUUUUAGCAAGGACAUAGAGUGAAAGAUGCCCACAUAUGAUAGCUCAAAUAAGCACUUUUGGGCAUAUAACACUCCCUUAUCCAUGAUUCAUCCACCCCUCAGAAGAAAGCAGCGCCUUCUGUUUCAAAGAAUGUCAAGACUUCUAGUAAGUAUUAUGUUUUUGAGCCUACAAUCUCUAGUGAAGAUAAGAAUGUUGUUGAAGAGGGGUUUAGGUCUAAAGGUUCUGAGAUGAGAAACCCUACUAAGCAUACUGGAGUCACUGAGAAUCAAACUGAAGCGGAAAGUAGUGCCAUUGAUAAGAAACUUCAGAAGUUUAUCACCUUUGUGCUAAAGGAAGUGAACUCAGAUGUUUUGUCAGAUGUUCAAACAUCUUUGGAAAAAGAAACUAGCCCUGAUAGUGAUUCUAGUGAAAAAGAUGAGGAAAGCGUCCCUGAGCAAACUGCUCAUAAAAGAAGGAGUAAGAAGAAGGUUGAUGAAUGUGUCCCUGAGCAAGCUGCUCAUGAAAUAAGAAAUAAAAAGAAAGUUGAUCAUGUUGUCAAUGUUGACGACCUAACAUCUGACGAGGAACCUCUUACCAACAUCGUGACUCCUGGUAUAGCCAAGAGACUUCAGAGAAGAAAGUGAAAGGUUGUGGUGUUUGAAUAUUCUCCCUCUAAGGAGAUAAAAAGAAAAUCUGGUGGUAUGAAAAGCACUCCCUUUAGAAGUUCCAUCGGAAAAUCUCCUGUUGGUCUUGCUAGUUGAUGGAGUAAAGUUGUUACUCAUACUAGGAAGAAUAAAGCCAUCUCGUCUAGUGAUUCCGAGUUUGAGGUCGAGGAGGAUGUCCAUGACAUCAUGCCUAUAAGAAGAUCUGCUACAAAGAAGCCUCAUGUUGGUGUGCUCGAGGCUCUACUGGACAAUCUGUCUUUACAUUAUGUAAAGAAUGCUGAAAGAUGGAAGUAUGUUAUUCAAAGGAGGGUAGCUUUGGAGAGGGAAUUAGGUAAGGAUGCCCUAAAAUAUAAGAAGGUUGUGGAGCUUAGAGAGACUGCUGGUUUGAUGAAGACUGUCACAAAUUUUGGUCCUUAUUAUGAAAGUCUGGUCAAGGAGUUUGUGGGGGCAAUUCCUGAUGGGUGUGAUGAUGUGAAGAAUGCAGACUGUAGGAAGGUGUAUGUUAGAGGAAAUGUCGUGACAUUUUCUCUUGCUAUCAUCAACAAGUUUCUGGGAAGAACUGAAGAACCUCAAGUUGAGCUAGAGGUUAGUGUGUAAGGAGAUAACUACCAAGCAGGUAAAACAUUGACCAAACAUAGGAAAGUUGUUUGUUGGGAAGCUGAGUCUCAAGUAUGCAAUCCUUCAUAGGAUUGGGACUGUCAACUGAGUGCCUACUAAUCACACCUCAACCAUCUCUACUGGGCUUGGGAAGUUUAUAUAUGCUAUUGGGACAAGAAGAGCUUUUGAUUUUGAAAAGUACAUUUUUGAACAAGUUUUGAAGUAAGUCUUCUCAACUGCGGUAAAGAUUAAUUCCACCAUUAAAAAAUGUCAUAAAAAUUAAAUAAUAAAUAUAAUAAAUAAGUAAAAAAAUUCUUAUUAACAUUAUUAUUAAAAAUUAAAAAAUACAUAUGAAUAUUAAUUAUAUUAUUUUAUUUCUAAAUAUUUAAAAAAUUAGUACAUAUAAUUUUUAUCCCAAAAUUUAAUAGUACAUAAUAAAAUUUUACAAAAAUAAAAUAUUUUUUAUUUAUAAAUACUUUAGUAAAGGCUUGUAUUAUCAUUAUUAUUAACAUUUAUAUUAUUUAAAAAACAUUAAAUUCAUGAAAUAAUGACAUUAAAUAUAAUAGAUUGUUUUUUAGAUCAUGAAAAAAAUCAAAGAAUGAUUGGAUUUGAGUUACACAUUAUGGUGAAUAAUAUAAUAAAAUUUUAUACUGGAUUAAGGUUGAUUAUAACUCACAACUCAUAUUGCUUAAAAAUCAUUGAUAUGCUUGUUUACUUACAUAUUACAUAAUUGACUAAGUCAAUUUUAUCAUAAUAAAAAAUUAAUUGGAUUUUAAUUGCAUUAUAAUUUAAAUAAUAUUCAUUUAUUUUUAUGACAAUCAUAUUUUACACGUUUAAUAAUUCAUUUUAUAAUAAUUAAUAAUUAAUUGAAUAAUUAAAUUAUAUUCAAUCAAAUAUAUAUAUAUAUAUAUAUAUAUAUAUAUAUAUAUACUAUAUAUAUAUAUAUAUAUAUAUAUAUAUUAUUUAUUAUUAGGAGAAUUAAAUUUACGUCUUUAAAAACCAGAGGCAUGUGAAAUAUGUAUAAUAUAUUAUGUAUAUUAAUCAUUAUUUCAAAUAUUAAUAAGAUUAAAUAUUUUCCAUUUAUAUACAUAUAAAUUGAAACAAAUAUUAUAAUAAAAAAUAUUCACAAUCAAUAUUUAUUAAAAUUCAUCAUCACCAUUUAACAUAUAUUUUCGCUAUAUUAAGAUUGCUACCUAUAAAGUAAAAUAUUAAAAUAAAAUUCAUUUGAAUCAUAAAAAAAUAAUACACUCUCUAUAAAACAGAAUGUUUAUUUCUGAUACUAAUACCGGACCUUUAUAAAAUAUUUAAAAUAAACUAUAUUUAAAACUCUUUAUAAUUUGAUUAAAAAAACAUGUUCAUAAUUAAAUUCAAUAAAGAAAAUAAAAAAUAUUUAAAUUUUGUAUUAUUACUGAAAAUUGAAAAAUACAUAUGAAUAAUAAAUAUGUUAUUUUAUUUCACUUGAACAUUAAAUUUUUUUAUAAAUACUUUAAUAAAGAUGUAUAUUAUUAUUAUAAAUAUUAAUAAUAUUUUAAAAUAUAUAUAUAACACAUAAACUAAUGACAAUAAAUAAAAUAAAAUAAUUUUUAAAUCAUGAAAGAUAAUAUAUGAAUGGAUGGACUUGAGUUACAUAGAUAUUUCAUUAUUGACUAUUUCUAUUUUAUUAUAAUUAAGAAUUAAUUGGAUUCAAUCUAAUAUUUUGUUGUUACCCGUUGCAUAAAAUAUUCAUUUAUUAUUAUCGCCAUUACAUUCAUUUAGUGUUUAAAAACUAUAAAAAUAGGAAAACAUGCACCCCGCCGUCUUAAGAAAAGUCAUAGGAACACAUUGUCCUAUAUAAACAACAAUAUGUUAAUUUUUUUAAUAUCACGUCAUAAAACCUAUCAUAUUCACUAUAUAUCCACAUUAAAAGACAAUCAUUAACACCGAUCAUGAUGAUUUAUUAAUUCAAGUCAGAAUAGUUCGAUUGUGGGUUUUUAUAAUCUGCUAAAUAAUGAAGAACAAACAUUCGUAGAAAUAAUUUUGUUAGAUGAAUAAGUAUUUACUCUUUAUCCAAAAUAUUGUGUUUGUUGUUCAAAAAAUCUAUCUAUUUAUAUAUAUUAAAUCCAAUGCAUCAAACUAUUUUACGACACCUUAUAAUAAUUUCUUCAAAAAUAAUCCAUAUCAUCCUAUUAGCUUAAUGUAUACAAUUUUUAUUAAACCACCAAUCAAAACACUACCAUCUUCCAACACCCCAUCUUAAAAGUCACAUAAAUGAUUGUUCUUGCAAAGUUGAUUUUAAAUUUCUCUUAUUACUGUUUCUCAAUUUUGAAUUAUGAUUGCAUCAUUAGGUAUCUGUGUGGUUGGUCUUGCAUAAUUAUAUUUUGAAUUUUUCCUAUCACAAUUAGAUUUUCUGGUUCCUACGGAUUCUAUUUUGGAUUUCUCCAUUUCGAUUUGAUUAUGAAAUGGUUCAAAAUCUUCAUACAAGAACAAUGUUGAAGAAUAAACAAAUUUGUUGCAACAUUAUCGAUCCAUCUUCUUUCAUUUCAGGUAAUUUCAUCAAACAAUGUCUACAAAAUAAACUUAAAAUUCAUAUAUGUUGAUUUCAUUUGGAAAAUUCUUGUAUUUCUUCUCUUAACCUCAAUAGUUAAUGUCUGCGGAAAAUUUGGUUUGAAAUGGAUUAUAAUUGAUUUAUCACUAUUAACACUUUCUAAUACUUCAAUUCUUACAAUUCUAUAGUUGAAAAAUAUGUAUAAUAACGAAGUUGUUGUUCUUUUAGCUCAGAUGGUUUUCUUGUAGAGUCUUAUUAUUUUCUUGCAUUGUAUGACUUGGUACAAUUAAAUUUUGUUUUCUUUAUGAAUUUGAUGUUGCCAAGAACAUGCUAUCAGCACCUUACAUUCUUCGACUCUUUCCAUACAAAAGUCUCAUUUUCCCCUUCCCUAAUUCUCCAAUACCAAAACCCCCUUUUCCCCUUCCCUAAUUCUCCAAUACGAGAAAAACAUCACAUAAAUGACUGUUCUUGCAAAGUUGAUUUUGGAUUUCUCUUAUUACGGUUUCUCGACUUUGAAUUAUAAUCGCAUCAUUAGAUAUUUGCGUGGUUGGUCUUGCAUAAUUAUAUUUUGAAUUUUUCCUAUCACAAUUAGACUUUCUCCUUUCUACCCUUACCGAUAUAUAUAUUUAAUAACAUUGUAUGGGUAUAAAAAAGUAACUAAGAUAAAUAUUAGCUAAAACAAAUAUUGCUAUAGAAUUUAUUCAUAAUCAAUAUUUAUUAAAAUUAGUCUACCACUAUUUAAUUUGAAUAAAAAAUAAUAAUUUUUUCUGUUAUAAAAUUAAAGUUUAUUUGUCCCUAAUAAUAGAACAUGAUCAACUAUUUUUAAGACCAAAAACAUUAGAAAUUAUUGUAAAAAGUAAUUGAAAAUAUUAAUGUCAUAAAAAUUAAUGCCAUCAUUAAAAAAAUGAAUGUUGAUAAAAUAUUUACAAUAAAUUAUAUUUAAAGCUAUUUCCAAUUAAGUGAAAUAAUGAUUAUAUAAUAAAUAUUUAAGAAUUGUAUUAUUAACAUUAUUACUUAAAAACUAUUUGAAUUCUAUUACAUUAAACUUUUGACUAUCUAUUUGUAAUUUUAGUUAAUUAUUAUUUUUUAUUACAAAACAAUAACAUCACAUCAAAACUACAACUAUUUAUUUAAUAAUAAUAAUAAAAAAAUUAAUAAUUUCAUUUGUAAACUAAAUUGAAAUAUUUAUUACCAAUAAAAAAUUAAUAAAAAUUUUAAUUAUAAUUUUAAUGAAACAAUUACACUAUACUUCCUUUUAACCAUUAAUAUUAUCAUUUUAAUAUACUAUAUUAUUUAUCAAAAAACAUACAAAUAAAAUAUUAUUUAUGGACACAAAAAGGUUAUAAAUGAUUGUAAAAAUAUUAUUGAAAAAAAUAAUAUCAUAAAAAUUAAUUCCAACAUUAAAAAUGUCAUAAAAAUUAAAUAAAAUAUAUAAUAAAUAAUUAAAAUUUUCCAUAUUAAGGUUAUUAUUGAAAAUUGAAAAAUACUUAUUCAUAAUAAAUAUAUUAUUUUAUUUCUAAACAUUUAAAAAAUUAAUACAUAUAAUUUUUUAUCCCAAAAUUUAAUAGCACAUAAUAAAAUUUUACAAAAAUAAUGUUUUUUAUAAAUGCUUUACCAUAAAAAAUAUUCAUAAUCAAUAUUAUUAAGAUUCAUCAUCACAUUUAACAUAUAUUUUAGCUAUAUUAAGAUUGCUACCUAUUAACUAAAAUAUAAAAAUAAAAUUUAUUUGAAUCAUACAAAAGUAAUUUACUCUCUAUAAAAAGAAUGCUUAGUUGUGAUACUAAUAAAACAACCCGAACCUUUAUAAAAUAUUUACAAAAUAUUUACAAUAAACUAUAUUUAUAACUCUUUAUAAUUUUAUUAAAAAAAGAUAUCACAAUUAAAUUCAAUAAAGAAAAUAAUAAAUAUUUAAGUUUUGUAUUAUUAUUUAAAAUUGAAAAAUACAUAUGAAUGAUAAAUAUGUUAUUUUAUUUCACUUGAACAUUAAAAAAAUACUUAUAAAUACUUUAAUAAAGAUGUAUAUUAUUAUUAUAAAUAUUUAUACUAUUUAAAAAAUUAUAUGACACAUGAACUAAUGACAAUAAAUAAAAUAAAAUAUUUUUUAAAUCAUGAAAGUUAACAAAUGAAUUGAUCGACUUGAGUUACAUAAAUAUUUCUUUAUUGACUAUUUCGAUUUUAUUAUAAUUAAGGGUUAAUUGAAUUCCGUUUAAUAUUUUGUUGUUAACCGUUGCAUAAAAUAUUCAUUUAUCAUUAUUGUCUUUCCAUUCAUUUAGUGUUUAAAAAUUAUAAACAUAGGAAAACAUGCAUACACACUGCAGUUAUAAGAAAAGUCAUAGGAAUACAUUGUGGUAUAUAAACAACAAUCGAUUAACUUUUUUAAUAUCAUGUCAUAAUAACUAUCAUAUUCACUAUAUGUUCAUAUUAAAAGACAAUCAACAUUAACACAGAUUAGGAUGAUUUGUUACUUCGAGUCAGAGUCGUUCAAUUGUGUGGCUUUUAUAAUCUGCGAAAUGACGAAGAAGAACAAACAUUCGUAGAAAUAAUUUUGUUAUAUGAAUAAGUAUUAACUCUUUAUCCAAAAUAUUGUGUUUGUUGUUCACAAAAUAUAAUUUUAAAUUUCUAAUAAUUUCACAUUAUUAUUUUUUCUUUAUAAAAUUAUUGAUUUCAAUAUUUUAUUGCUAUAUUUUUUUCUUUAAGGAACUCCUUUAUAUGAAAUCAUAAAAAAAAUAUCUUUUAACACAAUUUAGAGAAUUGAUACAAGAGGAAAAUUUAUGUACCAUAAAAAAUAUUAAAAUAAUUGCGAUAAAUGAAACAUACAAAUAAGUCAAAAGACUUGAAAAAAAGAAAGAAAUGGUUUUUGCGAAAAAGACUUGUAUCAUUUGUCUUUUUUAAAAGUGUUUUUUUGACUGAUUUGUAUGUUUCAUUUUUCGGAAUUAUUUUUAUAUUUUUAUGGAUUUUUCUCUUGUAUCAAUUUUCUAAAUUGUGAUAAAAGAUAUUUGUUUAUGGUUUCAUAUAAAGGAGUUCCUUAACGAAAAAAAGUAUAACAAUAAAAUAUUAAAAUUAAUAAUUUUAUAAAGAAAAAAUAAUAAUGUUAAAUAUUUAAAAUACAAAAGUAUAUUUUGUGAACAACAAACACAAUAUUUUGAAUAAAGAGUUAUUAUCUUUUCAUCUAACAAAAUUAUUUCUACGAAUGUUUGUUCUUCAUCAUUUCACAGAUUAUAAAAAUCCCACAAUCGAACGACUUUGACUCGAAGUAACAAAUCAUUACAAUCGAUGUAAAGAUCUAAGAUUAAAUUUUUCAUUGUUGAUUGUCUUUUAAUAUGGAUAUUUGUUAUGACGUGAUAUUAAAAAAGUUAAUUUAUUGUUGUUAAUAUAAGACAAUGUGUUUCUAUGAUUUUUCUCAUGCUUGCUGAGUGUAUGUUUUCCUAUGUUUAUAGUUUUUAAACACUAAAUAAAUGCAGUGGUCAUAAUAAUAAAUGAAUAUUUUAUACAGCGAUUAACAACAAAAUAUUAAAAAAAAUUCAAAAUUCUUUAUUAUAAUAAAAUCAAAAUUGUCAAUAAUGAAAUAACAAUGUAACUCAAGUCCAUCAAUUCAUCUGCUAUCAUGAUUCAAAAAAUAAUUUAUUUUAUUUAAUGUCAUUAGUUCAUAUGUUAUCUUUUUUUUUUAAAUAGUAUAAAUAUUUAUAAUAAUAAUAUAUAUCUUUAUUAAAGUAUUUAUAAAAAGAAAAUAUUUUAUUUUUGUAACAUUUUAUUAUGUGAUACUAAUAUUUGAGAUAAAAUAUUAUAUGUAUUUUUUUAAUGUUCAAGGGAAAUAAAAUAACAUAUUUAUUAUUCAUAUGUAUUUUUCAAUUUUCAGUAAUUAUACAAAAUUUAAAUAUUUAUUAUUUUAUUUAUUGGAUUUAAUUGUGAACAUCUUUUUUUAUUCAAAUUUUAAAGAAAUUUAAAUAUAGAUUAUUGUAUACAUUUUAUAACGGUUCGGUUUCUUUUAUUAGUAUCACAAAUAAACAUUAUUUUUUUUCAGAGAGUAAAUUAUUUUUUUAUGAUUCAAAUCAAUUUUAUUUUAAUAUUUUAAUUAAUAGGUAGCAAUCUUCAUAUAGCUAAAAUAUAUGUUAAAUGAUGAUGAAUUUUAAUAAAUAUUGAUUAUGAAUAUUUUUUAUAGUAAUAUUUGUUUCUAUUUAUAUGUGUUUAAAUGGAAAAUAUUUAAUCUUAUUAAUAUUUGUGAUAAUGACUAAUAUAUAUAAUAUAUUAUACAUAUUUCACAUGUCUCUUGUUUUUAAAGGUGUAAAUUUAAUUAUCAUAAUAAUAAAAAAUAUGAAUAUUUGAUUGAAUAUAAUUAAAUUAUUCAAUUAAUUAUUAAUUAUUAUAAAAUUAAUUAUUAAACGUGUAAAAUAUGAUUGUCAUAACAAUAAAUGAAUAUAUAUUUAAAUUUAUAAUGCAAUUAAAAUCCAAAUAAUUCUUAAUUAUCAUUAAAUUCUUAGUUAUAAUGAACCAUAAACCAAAAUAAAAUUUUAUUAUUAUAUUCAUCAUAAUGUUUUUUUAACCUAAGUCCAACCAUUUAUUGGUUUUUUUAAUUGAUCUAAAAAAUAGUCUAUAAUAUAUUUAUUGUCAUUAUUACAUGAAUUUAAUGUUUUUUAAAGAAUAUAAAUGUUUAUCAUAAUAUAAUAAUACAACCCUUUACUAAAGUAUUUAUAAAUAAAACAUAUUUUAUUAUUGUAACAUUUUAUUAUGUGCUAUUAAAUUUUGGGAUAAAAAAUUAUAUGGAUUAAUUUUUGAAAUGUUUAGAAAUAAGACAGUAGUGCAUCCCAUAUUAUCUAGUUUUUAUUAUUUUCAGUACUAGAUGGCGCACCCCUUACUUUCUCUAGUAUAUCAGGAAAAUCGAGGAAAUAGAGAAGUAUUAUUACCUCGAUUUGUAUUAUUAACCGAGGGGACAUUAUAUUAAAAUAUACGUUUGGUAACACUAAUUUACAACGGUCUGACAAUUAACCAUGGUAAUACCUCAUCACUGUUUUUGAAUACGACAGUGGUGAAAUUGUUUACCCAUAUAUAAACAAAUUAACUCUCGCUUCUUGAUAGUAUCACCGUAUCUCUCACAACAAAACCUUAGCACACAUUUUCUCUGUUUUUGUUCUUCAUUAGCUUUCAUAUUCUACAUUAUUGUUUCAAUCUUGUUCUUCAUACAUAAAGGUAUUAUUCUUCUUCCUUAUUCUCUAGUUUUUGUGGUAUGUUGUUGUUAUGUUUCACAUGAUUUUCACAUGAUUUUAUUUUUAUUGUUGUAUGUUGUUGUUAUUGAUAAAUGUUGUAUAUUUUUGUAUGUUGUUGUAUAUUAUUGUUGUUGUAUGUUGUUUUAAUGCAUAUUGUCGUGUAUCAUGUUGACAAAUGUUGUUAUGUGUUGUUGAUUUUGUUGUUCAUGUUGUUUUGUUUUAAAAUCUGCUUAUGUUUCAAUAGCUUGUUUCAUAAAUGUUGAUGUAUGUUGUGGAUGUUGUUGUUGGUAAAUAUUAUUGUAUGUUGUUAAUGGUGUUGUUCAUGUCAUUUUGUUUCAAAAUAUGCUUAUGUUUCAAUAACAUGUUUCAUAAAUGUUGUUGUUGAAAAAUGUUGUUGUAUGUUGUUGAUGAUGUUGUUUUGUUUCAAAAUCUGUUUAUGAUGAUGUAUCAUUGUUUAUAUUUUAAUAAAUUAUUGCAUAAUGUUUGAACUUUCUACUUGUUUUGACUUGUAGGUAGGGAUUCUUGUUUCAAUAAGGAGGAUGAAGAUAAAGUGAACGCUCCACACUUUUGUGAAAGACCCAGAAUGACAUACAUUCAAAAUUAUAACAAGUAUGCAGCUCUCACUUCAGCUUCAUCCUCCUUUCACCGUGAAUGCAAUUAUGGGGGACAUGUAUGUUUCUGAAACAUUCUAUGAGUUAAUAUAUAUGUUGUUUUUGUUCUUAUUAAAAAGAGUGAUAUGUUGUAUGUUGUUUAAGGUUUGUUAUUGAUGAAUAUUGUUGAUGAAUGUGUUGUUAAUGUUUGCUUAAAAGAUGAUUUUAUUACAUCUUAUAUGGUUUGAGUGUUUUUCCUAUCCCUUACUGAAUAUACAUUUUCAGAUUGCAUUAGAAAAUUAUAAUAUGAUAGAUACAAUGAUAUUAGAAAACAAGUACACGUUCAAUUCUAGACAUGAAUUCUUCAGCCCACUAUCUGCAUUUUGUUCUUUAACAUUAGAACUUUAUUUAAUUCUUAUAGUUAUUCAACCGCCCAUUUCCCCACCUCUGAUUUUGUUUGCAAACUAAAUAAUAUUUUGAAUAAUGAACUAGAAGUGAAGGAACGGAAGGUUGAAGAACUAGGAGCAUUAAACAAAUUUCUAACCAUUAAAGAACUAAAUAUGGAUAAGAAGUUGAAACACUCUUGUCUAGCAUUGAACGUGAACUUGUUGUUCUAAUAUAACUUAAUUUCUCAUAUUAUAAUGCUCUAUAUCAGAUUUAAAGGUUUUAUGUUUAGUGAGUAUUAGCGAAAUAAGCAUUCUGCAUAAUUUAUAAUAACCUCAAUAUAUAUAUAUAUAUAUAUAUGUAUAUAUGUAUAUAUCACAACGGUUAUUUAUACCAAUAAUUGUUAAAUGUUACACGUUAAGAAUAUCACAACGGUUGUUUAAAGUAACAAUUAUGAUAGCUAGCAUGCUACAUAGCUUAUAAUCAUGGGAGAACGACCGUGGUGGAAAACAUCAUACAUAUAACCAUUCGCUACUUCAAAAUGGUUGAUCAGGCGUAAUGGUAUCCUUUUUCCAACCGUUGUGAAAUGGAUUUUAUGUAGUAGUGGGAAAUCCUUUUUAUUUAAUUUUUUUUUCUAUAUUUUUGUUUGAAACUAGAUUACAUAACCAUAUUUUCCCAUUUAUGAAAUAAAAACAUUGUAUCUUUUGCCCAUUUCUUAAAUAGGAAUACUGUACAAAAAAUGUUCAGUAUUUACACAAUUUGUUAAACCAAAAUGGCACACACACUAUAAUUUUACAACAAUAAUUGAUUAAUCAACAAAAGCAAUAACCAAAAUGCAAAGUUUUGUAGGCCUUCUAAAAGUUCUCUUAUAUGAUUUGUCACCGGUUAUUAAGCACCUAUAAUUUGAACAACAUUGAAACCAAUAAGGAUCAUGAACGAUAACUAUAAAUAUUGAGUAAGAAGAAUAAAAAACUAAAAUGAAUAAAUGUAUAUAACUAAUUGAUAUAAAAAAUUUACUUACUAGUUUUCUCAUAUCCCCUAUUGAUGAUCACGACGAAUAACAUGAACAUCAUCGAAAUCAUUUUAUUUAGAUGAGAAGCGUACAUGUGUUGCAAAACAAAGGGUCUACAAAUUUAAAUCUUGAUGUUCAUCACUACCAGAAAUAAAUUUUUCUUGUAGAAUAAUUGACCAUCUUAUGUUAGAAGGACCGGUGACAUAAAAAACUUGGGUUCCCUUGGAUGCCAUGAUAAAUGGUUUGUUCAUAUAAGUUUCCUUUCGCAUAUUAACCUAUGUGAAUCCUAAUUCAUCGGUUCAUAUAUCAGUGUUACUGUUAAUCGACUUGCGCUUAAAUAAAGACACUUUAAAAGUAACAUAAUUAAUCUCCAAAAUUUCCUCAAUGACCCUAAAGUAAGCUAUAUAUUCUAGUACAUGAUUGUUAUCUUUGAAACUAGACAAAUACAUGGAUUCAUCUUCAAGCACAACCCCACUAUUUUUGUAUAGUAUUACAAUCAUCCUUUGAUUUUGUAUAAAAUAAAAAUUUAGUAAUGUUGUAUGCACUCCAAGUUAUUACAUUAAACUUAGGCAUAUGUGACUUCCAUUGAAUUAUCUCCAACACAUUGCUCUCUUUAGAAAGUCUUUCAUUAAACCAAGUUGUGAAAGUUUUAUUAUGCACUGUCAACAACAAUUUUUUACUCAUCCGGAGGAAUUUUUCCUUGAUAAGACUUUAGUGAGAGGAAAAGUAAGCUUUGACUUCCUUAAUGUUAUUAAAUAUAGAGAAAUUUGCUUGAAGAACUACAUCUCGGUCAAAUGUCAUCACAUUUAAACCUUGAACACCUCUACCAUCUUGAUGAGACUUGUAAAUUCCUAUAGAGUUCGCUCUUGACAAUUUUUUUUUACAAAACUCAAUAGCUUUGUUUGUGAUGUAUCGUUCAAUGAUCGAAGCUUCCAGUUGAUUAAGAUUCUUUGUAUACCAAUUACAUAUCUUCAUGUAUCGCUCUACCCGAUACAUCCACCAUAAAUAAACUGGACAACAAAAUCUAAUCUCCCUUACUAUAUGAGCAACUAAGUAAACUAUAAUGUCAAAAAAAGAUGGAGGGAAAAUCUCUAAUUUACACAAGAUAAUUAUAUCCUCAUGUUCCAACUCAUCUAAAUUUCCAUAAUUAAUUACUUUACUACAUAUAGCAUUAAAGAUAACUAUAAUCUGGUUAUAGUUACCAUUACAUUUUUUUAAAUGUUACAGAUAGCCAAUCGUAGAAGUUAUUGCAUCAAUACAUGAAGAUCAUGAGAUGUUAAGCAAACUAAUUUAAUAUCUUUCAUUGAAGUUUCACACUGUCGCCCAUCACAUGCCACAACUUGGGGGAGGGGUUGAAGUAGUCUCGCCUGCUGUUGUGCCAUCUACAUUUUCACCAAGCUCUCUCUUCACUCAUCAAGAGGGCCUCCACCAAGUGUCAUGCACACGAAAACACCGUUAUAACACAAACAUAAUAAAUAUAACAUUGGGUCAAAAAAGACAUUCCUUCAUACCUAAGUAUGCCUCCACCCCAUCGCUGUCAACAUGCUUCGAGUAAUAAGGGUACUGAAUUCCAGAGAAGAAAAACAUCUCAAAAUUCAGAUUACUUUAUGAUCAAGAGGGAAGAAUACUUUGGUACGCCCUUUGGGUAAUCCAUGGAUUCAACAUCCAGGAUAGAGGUAAAGCGGGGUCAUCCCUCGCCCCCACAGUAACUGGAUAAGUAUCUCCUCGUCCUCUCAUCUGCAUGAACUUGUCUUUCCAAUCCUCAUAAGGGUUUGCGAAGGGUUUUAGCAUACACCCCCCGGAAAAGGGCGCAAUGUCACCCAUAUUUUUUAGGGUAGAAACUCCGUCGUAAAUAAAUAAAGGAACUCCCUCACAACAUGAGACUUGUCAGGCUACAACAGACUAUCUAAAAAUCCUGGAGUAUGCCCCACGUGUUUUGGGUAAUCAGAGAAGGGGCGAUAUUGAUACCAUUAAAAAAAUCCACUUAGAAAGAAGUAAGUGGAAUGAAAACCCUUAGGUCAUGAAUAAUGUGGAGGUGGAUGUAAAAAUAGGGACCAGACGGCUCACCGAAAGUGUUCAUGUUUCCCCUCUCUCCCUUUGAAUAGGAUUCCAUAAUCAUGUCAUCCUCACAUCCUGUGUUAGAAAAUAUGAUUCCAUGACAAAACCUAUUUAUCGUAUUCACAGUAGGAUAUAGAGACACAAUGUCUUGAACAUGAAUAAGUUUAGUCUUAUUUGCCAUGAUUGCUUGGGGGACAGAAAAGGAAGACAAUUUGUUUUCACCCAGAGGAAAAAAGAGUGAGCUCUUCAAUAUCCCCUUUGGUGCCCUAGAUUGGUAUAUUUUUAUGGAAAAGGAUAAAUGGGAAAGAAGAAGAAAAAAAAGGGUUUCCCCCGAAACUAUAUACGGGAAACCCAAUGACACAAAUCACCCAUUCACCCAAUGUGGUAACCGCCAUGAUAAGCAGGAAGGUCCUAAUACCUGGAAGGCGUAUGUAAACAAAAGAUAGAUAAAUUUGUUUUCCAAAAAAAAAGCCAUCACGAGGUGCAUUAAAUGCCACCCACAAUCAUCUUUUCACUAAAACACUUAAGUUUUCAAUAGUGACUGACGUUUAGUUAUCUUGGGGUCUAAUAAAAAGAGAUAGAGAAUAUCCCUCUAUCGUCUAGUGAUCCAAGAGGCAUUCGUAUAAGAAUAAGUAGUCACCUUCUGUUGAAGGACUCAACCCUUAAAUAAAUAGUAGUUUUCAGCUGAGGGAUGCUUCCCCUAAUAAAUUAUCACCACCGAUUGAGGAACUUAUAAAUAGGGCAAAGAGCGUACUUCACAAGUGAAAGAGGAUUUAAAAAACUUUCCCUUAACAAGGCCCUCGUUCUUGAGGGACUAUGCAGUGUUAUAUUUGUGAGUGGCCUAAGCAAGGGGGUCCUCUCCCAAGAAUAUUGAUGCCUAUGCAAUAUCAACAUGGUUGGCCACUAGCAUUGAUGACGUGUGGAUGUCAUUGGUCAAAGGAGAAGGAAUUCACCACUACCCUUUGAAGACUAGGUGUUCAACAACUUCUCUUGAUCAAAAGGGAGCGGUUUCCGCCCUUAAGGGUUACCUAAAUCCUAGGCCCAAAAAGGGGUUCUAUAAAUACUCUCCCCCAAGGGGAUAUGGGACAGACUUUAAUACAUACAAGUCUUUAGCCAUAUAAAUCACACCCACACAUAUGCUUAUACCUAAUAACAUAUCUCCAAACAAGGCCUCUCACCUCACGUAAGUAAGACCUCUAAACCACUGUAAAAACAUCACCGCCCAGGGUUUCUUGCCGUUGUGGGCAACCCCUAACCACCAUACAUCGUAAUAUGCUUGGCCUUUGAGUCCCCUUGCUCCUACAGGAGGAAUAUGCACACUUGUAAUUUUUUACCAGUAUUAAUAGACUUUAUGAAUCCUUCUAAAAAUGCAUCGUGUUCCUUUUCCAACCAUUUCCUUGACUUCCUCCAACCUACAAAACAGGUUAAAUCUUUGUAAAAUAAUGACUAAUCACAAUCCCAAACUUAGCUUGUUGCUUGUCUUCAAGCAACAUUUUGAAAAAUAAAAAUGUUUUAACAUACCAACUCAAAUAAAGUCAAGAGUUAAAAUUACUAUACCUUCUGGUUCCUUUAUGAUAUUCUCUUACUAUUACCUUGACUUUCACAUUUUUACCAAGGUCGACUGAUCUUCCUCAUUAUCACUUGAUGAUAGUACUUCAUUUGUCAUCUCUCUACUUAUUCUCUAGUGUUUAUGUGUUUAUUCUCUCAAAAUUCACAAUAUGCAACAUUGUACCAUAAACUUGAUUAAAUUCUAAUCAGUUAAUAAGAUACAAAGAUACAAACACUUUUUGAGAUCUUUAAGGUUGUAAUGGGGCUAGGGCUCUGGUAGAAUAUAUUUGGAGAGUAGUUUAAAACAUGGAGUAAGAAGUAUUAUUCUCAUUGACAAUGUUUAAUUAAAAAGUUUUGUGGGAUAUUUGUUUCAACUGAGUUCUCUUUGGCUUCGUUGAAUUUUUCCAACUUUAUUUACUUCAUUUUUAUUUCUUUCUUUUCUAGUUGAAUUUCAACUUUUCUUUGAGUACAUUGUUAUUUCUAUUUUUUCAAAGUAUGUUGAAUUUUCAAAAUCAUUCUUUUUCUUUUCAUAUAUGGACUCAUAUUCAUUUGAUUUCCUUAAUUUAUAAUUGAUACCGCAAACUUAUUGGUUGUCAUUCCAACAGUAACUCGAAACUUGAUAUGGACACAUCUUUAAGACGUAAUAUUUCUACAACAAGUAGGGCAGGGAAGUGUUUCUGCCAAGGAUUACACUUAGAGUUAAGAACAAACAAAAGGGAAACAGGCUCAAAGCGGUUAUGCAAGGGAUAAAAAUAAAAAUGUUAGCAUGAAAGGCUCUGGGCUAAAAUGAAACAACUCACCUCAAUUUAUGUAAAUAAUGCAAAUGAAAUCAACUUAGGACAUACGUAAGUUCUUAAAAAUGAAUACAAACUCGAAUGUUCUCUCUCAUGAUGAAGUGUUUGGCUUGAUUUGUCAUUCAUCGGGUUGUUUAGAAAUGAACAACCUACACAAUGCACCUUAAUUAAUGCAAAGUCAUAAUCAAUUAUGGUAGACCUGCUUAACUCUCAGUAUGACUCAGAAGUAUAUAAAUUAUUUUGCGAGUUGACAUGCAUGAGGAAUAAAAAUAGCUAUGUUGAUUGAUUAUUAGAAAACCACUAUUUUACUAUGAAUUAUCAGUUAACUAGAUGAAAGUAAACAAACAUAAAAUAAAGCAGCAAAAACGAAACAAAACUAAGAACUUAAUUUAAAAUUGAAAAAUAUAAAAUAAAAUUAAGUAGAUCUAAGGUAAGAAUAUCUCCCUUAGGUUUCCUCCCAAGAAGCGCUCGUUUAUUGCCACUAGAUAAUUCAUCUUCCAAACCUUGUUAGUUUUCUUUUUCGAGACUAAGAAAUCAUCUUUUCCAAAGACAUAUAUUACUUUGUGUAGCAUGUUACUCCAUAUUUUUAUAACAUUAGUUAAAUGUUGCUUUUUCUUUUUUUUUUCUCUUGGCUUUUGGAAUGGAUUUUUAAGUCUUUCUACUCAUAGGUACUAGUGGACAUCUGAGAUGUUAUUGCUAAUACUUUUUCUGGUACUAGUCUUAGAAUUUGUCUUUCCACAUAUUUUUUGAUCAUGCCUAUUUAAUAGAAAUUAUAUUUUUCUUCCUCUUGCUUCAAGUUUUCAAGCACAUUCAAUGUUAUUUCAUCAUCAUAAACUUUUAUAAUGAGUGUCCCAUUUUCUAAAUUGAUAUUGCAUCGAAUUGUAAGCAAAAACGAUCUACAAAGAAUAAAAUUGUUCUCUUCAUCAUCAAGCAUGCCCAUGGUCAAAAAUCAACUAGAAAGCUAAUUUUUUCUAUUUUAACGAGCGCAUCAUCUACUAUCUCAUAUGGAUGCUUUGUAGAGUGAUAUACAAAAUUUAAAUUCAUCCUUGUAUCAUUAACUUUUCCAAUGAGACUGACUCACACUAGCUCCUGGACCAAUCAAAACUUUCUUGAAAGUUUUUUCUUUUAUCGUGCAUGGAAUUGUGACAUAUCCAUGAUUUUUUUGGUUGAUAGGGAUUCUCCUACCUUGUGAUAUUGCAUAACACUUCUCAAUUAAGCUUACUGACUCAUUUCCCAAUGUUCUCCUUUUAGAAAUUAUAUCUUUCAUAAAUUUUUGGUACAUUGGCAUUUUCUCAAGUUCUUUAAAUAAAGGAAUGUUGAUCUCAAACUUUCUGAACAUUUCAAGAAAAUUUUCGAAAAAUUUCCUGUUUUGAUCAUUCUUAUUCACCCUAUGAGGGUAUGGAAGUUUAAUGUCCCUUGAUUCUUUCUUCUUUUCUAGUUCAACAUCUUUGGGGGAAGUAAUAUUCUCUAGUUCUUAUUUAUUUUCCUUACCUUCUAGAUCUACUUUGAUAAAAUGAUUUUUCUCAGAUGUCUUCUCUUCUUCACUUUCAACUGCUUGUCUACUUCUUGUCAUUACAACACAAACAUUAUUAUAUUCUUUGGAAUUUAUGAAUAUGGUGCUCGAAGUACUCCCUUGUGCUUGCUAUGAAACCAAUAGUUAUUUUUGAAUUUCCCCCCAUUUUAAUCUUUGUGGAUAAGGAAAAUUUGAUUUUUGGCUUUGGAAGUUUUUAUUUUUGAGCUAUGGUAGUAAGAACAUUGGCCCUUUCGUGAUUUCUAGUAUUAUAGAUGGUGUUGCUUGGGGUUUUAUCUUGAACUCAUUAUGAAAAUUGUUGAUCUAUCUGUCCCAUCUGAACCUCUAGAUUUUUUAAUAGAUGUUGUAGUGCUCCUUUGAUUAUUCCUUGUCUCUUCUUGGAAUUGAGCAUUGUGAGCAGUAACAUUUUCAAGACCUAUCUCCCAAUAUCCUUUCUUAGGGACUCAUUUUGUUGUUGAAAUCAUUGUUGAUUCUAAUAUUGCAUUGGCCCAUGCUGAUCUUUCAAUGAAAAGUUUGGAUGAUUCUUCCACCCUCGAUUAUAUGUGUUGGAAUAAGGAUUCUUCUUCUUGAGGAUCCCCAUAAAUUUCACAACUUAAUGCUUGUGCCUAUUAGACUUGAGCUACAUGUUGACUACUUGUGUUUAGGGCCUUAAGUCUCCUUUCAACUUCAGUUGCAACCUGAUCUUCUAACUUUAUACCCUUUGUUGCUAGUUUCAGAUCAAUAACCCUUUAUGGUUUGCUUGUGCAUCUAUCAUACAACUCGAGAUGUUCAUUAACAGCGAUGGCCUCAAUAAUCUUCCUGAUACCAGUGGCUAUUGUAAAAUUUUAUGAGCCACCAACAGUUUUAUCAAUCUAUUUUUUAGUCUUCAGUCUUAGCCAAUUAAGAAAUAUUUUCAUUUGUUAGGUUUGAUCAAAAUUUUGCGUAGGACUUGCAACCAGGACCCUUUUGAAUCUUUUAUAUGCAUCACCUAAUACCUAACCUUCUAUUAGUUUGAAAUUAAGAAUUUUGUAUAGUUUUCUGAGGAAAACUAAAGUAGGAAAAAAUUCAUUCAAAAAAGUUGUUUCCAUUUAUUCCCAAGUCAUGAUGUUAUCUGAUGGAAGUUAAUAAAACCAUUCUUCAGCAUCUUCUGCCAGAGUAAAAUAAAACAUUCUCAAUUUCUUGUUUUCUUCUAUAUGCCAUUCCAUCUUGAGAGUUGCAAUCAUCGUUAAAAACAUUUGCAGAUGUUUUCUCGCAUCUUCAUUGAUUUUACCUAUGAAAGGCCUCUUCUCUAGCUGGCUGGCGGUUUAAGGGUAUAACGGAAAGUUACGUACAUUUACAAGUUAAAUUACUAUUCUAAGUCGACCUCCCGGUGCAUUUUCUCUUCCAUAUUCUCUGAGUAGUCUUUCAGGAGAUUCUUGAUUUUCAACCACUGGUUCCUCUACUUAUUUUUCUGAUUAUAUAUUUGAUGGAUGGGAAUUUGUUUCCUCUUUUUUAUUUAUGUUUAAUGGGGGUUCAUUGAGGAGAUUUGAAUGAUUGAUUAUGUUUUGUUCAAAGUGUCUUUAUUUGAAUGUAAGUGGGUUGACAAUAACAUUAAUGUACAAAUCGAUGAGUUAGAAUUCAUAUGGGUUUACCUUUAAGUAAAACAAUUUAUAUGACCGAAACAUCCAUCAUGUAUACCCAAGCAAAAUAAGUGUUUCAUGUGACUGACCCUUAUGAUAAAAUAUGGUCAAUUAUUCUCCAAAAAAACACAUUCCUCAUAGUGAUGAAAAUCAUGAUUUAUAAUAUAAUAUCAAUAUAUAUAUAUAUAUAUAUAUAUAUAUAUACACACACACACACACAUAUAUUCCUUCGACUCCUUCUUACAGAACACAAGUACCUACUUCAUAUAAAGUAGUUGAAAGAGACUCUGUGCAUGCUAUUCAUAACGAUAUGGAAUAACACACAUGGGAAAAUUAACAAGUAAAUAGUUUUUAUUGCUUAUUCAUAGUUUAUUGUAUAUUAUAAUUUCUAAUGCUAUAUACUCAUAAGUAUUACUAUUUAAAAUAAUAUGUGUUUAAAGCCAAGACAACAGAAGACAAGACACGUUCCUCACGUCGUAGAUAUUAUUUGAUGUAAUGAUGUUAUAAUUUAUUGUAUGUUGUUUGUGUCAUUUAGGUUUUGAUCUAAUAUACAACUUUUUAUUCUUAAUGCAAUUUUUGAUUUUGAUGUAAUACUAUUUUUGAUCCAUUUUAGUUGCCAACAAUGGGCUUGGUUCAGAUAUGGUUUUUGUUGACGUUUCUAGUCUACUUACGAUUCAUAAAAAUACAGGUACAAAAAUUGGGAAUUUUGUAAAAUAAAAAAUGUAUAUUUAAAAUAUACAGAUUAUUUCACCAUGGUUGGUUAUUUCGACAUUGGUUAUAUCUAGCACGCUAUCCAGAUUAAUAAACCUAAAAAAAUGGAAACACUGAUUAUCGAACCCAGAACAUUUGGUUUUUUUACUACAGUUGUAUAUUACAACUGUGAUGAUGACGCGCCGUGAGAAAUACAGAGUCGCCACCGAAUUUUAUUUAUUCCAAAGGAUUUGGGCCCUUGUGCCUACGUACCCUCAUCAAGGAUUUGGGCCCUUGUGCCUACGUACCCUCAUACGUGCAAUAAGGAAGUCAGAGCUUCGUAGUUUGGCCCAAAAAUGGAACAUUUGUUUGGUUGUUUUUAUUGAACAGUAUUAACAUUCGCGCGCUACUAUUCACUUGCUUAUAUACUCUGUCAUGGGACCGAAAAAUAUUUGCUUGUUUGCGGUAAAAUGGAUAUGCUUGGUUCGCACUCUAGCGGUUAAACAUCACUUGCUCGCACAUAGAGGCUUAAGCUUCGUUCACAGUAGAAAGAAAGUAACACGUUUAUAUUGAAAGGUUUUGAAGAGAAAGCCCUAAGAUAAAGAAUUAUUUGAUUUGUUAGGGUUGAUUUUAUGUACGGAGAUAAGCAUCAGAUCCUUGGCUAGAUACAAUCAACGGUCCAAUAACUUGGGAGUUGAGAGGAAAAUAUUAUCCUAACCAUUCUUUUUCAUCUAAAAAAGAGAUUUUAAUUGUGAAAAGAGUUUGGCAAGUCUAAUCAUUGGAAUUUAGAGGGAGACAAGUCUCUGACCCUUGACUAAGUACAAUCAACAAUCAGAGUACUUGGGAAUCGAUAGGACAAUGGAGUCCUAACUACUCUUUUUCUUCCUCAUAGCACCUAGAUCUAACUUGUUUGAAUCAUGAUAUGUUUUAAGGGGGGGAAGGGGGGGGGGGGAGUCAAGUUUCGGGUCCUCAUGCUAGGUAUGGCCGACAACCCAAUUACUUGAAUGUUGUGUACAAACAUGUACACUUCAUUUGACAUUCCAAUUUAUUACGAAAAUAAUUUUGAAAAAGGAACUUGAUGUUGGAUCAAACAUUUGAAUUUAUUAUGAAAAAUAGUGAGUGAAGAAUAGAGAUGAAAGAUAGAAUGAGGUUGAGAAGAUAAUGGAGAAGAGAUGUGAAUGAUGGAUAAUGGAAUGGAUGGAGAAUACUUGACGUUGGAUCAAGCAUUCACGUUGCAAUGGUGUGAAUUUUAUUUGGAAAACAACUUGACGUUGAAUCAGGUACCUUUUAUUUCUUUUGAAAUGCUUUGUUUAUCAUUUUGUAUUUUAUCUUGGUUAUUGACAUGCAUGGUGAACUAACUAGAAAGAAAUAAAUCUAAGCUAUUACAUGACUAGGGGGUGGGGGAACAUUUAACCCAAAAGGGGGGAUCCGCACAAUACAACAUGAAGUCAUGAAAGGAAAAUACAAUUUACCACUCAUGUGCAAUGCCUAAACCAUACAAGUGGCAUGGCACUUCAAACAAUACAAACUAAUGAAUAAAAAUAAAAGGAAUAGCUUGGAUGAUGUUUGGAUCUCUCAUUCACAUGUCUCCAUAAAAAAGAAACAAAAGUGGUUAGUAUGCAUUAACGAAAUGGGAUUAAAAUGAAUAUUAAAAUGCUAAACAAAUGGAUGAAAUGUUGAAAUGAUGGAAUGAUAUAAUGAUCUUGGUGAGAAAAUAUGUACCAAAUUAAAUUGAAAUAGAAAUUUUGAUUUAGCUAUUAACCACAAACAAAUGUAACCAAGUCAAAGUGAGAUUAAUCAUGUACAUGGAAAAUAACAUGGCAAAUCAAAUGAAAUUCUAAACAUAGCAUGGUUGAUCACAUGAAAAUAAAUUCUGGAAAAUUAAAAAAUCUAAUAUAUACAAAUGAUUAAUCCUAAUUUCUAACUAAUUACCUAAUCCUAAUUAACCUAAUUAAACAUGAAUUAAGCUAUUUAUCCCUAAAAUUAUGUUGAAUCCUAAAUGUAAAAAAAAAAACAGGAAUUAAAAUCUAUUUCAUACAAAAAACAGCGACAUGAUUAGUAACAAAAAUAGAAUUAAAAUUGGAAUUGAUUAAAUCAAUUAUGAGAUUUAUCAUGAUUAAGAUGAACAAUGUUAGGCCAGGGGUAUGAAAGCAGAUCAAGAGGGGCAAUUGCUUGGCCUAAGGCCCAGUCAGCAUGACCUGCUGGAAUUCAGCACAAUAAUGAGGACAAAAUUUGCUAUCAGCAUGAAUGUUACUGCUACAUGUGGCAGUGGAGAUAUGGAGUAGACACUCCUUGGACCAGUCAACCAAUCAAAGUAUCAAGGCAAUCAAUAAAUCAAUGCUCAUAAUGGAUAAAAGAAUAAGCGGUUUCUAAUGGUAUCACACUCUCCUCUCUCUCUCCGUUCAUUCAUCUUCCAAUUUUCAUGUCAAGACAGAACCACCACCGGAGCUGCGACACCACCGCGCCGGAGGCGGAAGAGUUGGCCGGAUUCAAGAAAAAGCACCAAUUUCUUACUCCUCUCAAACUCUUCUAUCCUAAUCUCUCAUCUAUUCUAACUAUAGAUUAACUAAUUCUGGAAAUUAAGCAAUUUAAGUCAAGAAUCCUAAGCACAAAAUCUGAAAUUGAAUGGAAAUGGAGGAGAAUCAAACCACCAAGCCUUGGGGUUUGGAUCCUCCACUACAUAUGCUACAUUGAGGUAUAAAAAAUUCAACAAAUGAGUGAAGAUUCACUGACCUACAAAACGGAGGAUUGUCUUGGAACUUGUUGAGAUUUGAAAGUGAUGAAGAUGAAGAAGAGAAAACCAGAGGUAUGCUACUUUGAACCUUUAAUCUUCCACUUCUACUAUGAACUCCUCCUCUUCAAGAAUCAACUCUAACAAAUUAUGAAUUAGAUUGUUGUUGUUGAUGUUGAUUAUAUGAAUGAAGGGAUUAUUGUCGAGUGCAAGAGGUUUAGCUCAAUUGAUAACAAAAUUCAAUGUGAAGCUUGCUCCAAUGGUGAUUUGAGCUUUGAUGUAGGGAGAGGAAUUGGAGAAGAUGAAGUGAGAAAAAUUGAAUUUGCAAUGAGUAAUUUGAGAAUGAUAAAAAAGUUCCCUUUUUUGCUCCCCUUUCUGUUUAUAUAGGUUGCAGGUUUGGGUCCAAUGGAGGUUCGGAGUUAGUUAUUGUCAGGUUAGGAUUCAACUUAGGAGUUAGUUGAAGUGAACUCAGUGAGUUCAAUUGGUUAACUCGCUAAGUCGGAAGAUAGUUGGUUGGAUUAGUUAAUUGGUUAAUUGGUUGGUUUUUUUGAGUAAUUCCAAUAGUGACUGAUUGUAGCAGGUUUCCCUUAAGUGGUUUUGGCUUUGAAGUUUUGUUUAUGACCUGUUAAUAAAUUGGCUUAGGUGCAAGGUAUAACAAGUAAGCUUAAGUGUGACUUGCAAUUGUAGGUUAAUGCAGAGUAUGUGAAUCAUUGUGAUCGUGUUGGCAUGACAAGAAUUUGUACUCUGUAGUGUUUCAGUAGCUUGUAGUACCAUCGAAUCUGCUACAAGGAACAGGUUGAGUUGACUCAGACAGGGGAGGAGUCGACUCAAACAGAGCAUUUUCCAGGGUUGAGUCGACCUACGAGUCGACCUGUUCGAACUCGUGGCGAACUGGUUCAAAGGAAGACGGGAAAUGAGUCGACGUAAGGAGUGGGUGAGUCGACUCAAAUAGGAUUUCCUAUAAUUGAGUCGACCGGUGAGUCGACCUGCUCGGACCCGUGGCAAAAUGGUUCAAGGGAAAAUGGACAAUGAGUCGACGCAAGGAUUGGAUGAGUCGACUCAACCAGGUUUCCCAGAACUAGGUCGACCUGUGAGUCGACCUGUCCGGACCCAUGGGUUUUGCUUCGAGUCAAUGAGUCGACUCACAGAGCAUAAAGUUCCAAAAAUGAGUUUUGCAAUGUGUUAUAAUUUUUUUCACUUUUAUUGUAUGUAAUGACUAUUUUAUGGAUGAACAUGAAUGAAAUUGGCCAAUUGAAUGAAUUGACUUAAUAUAUGAACAUGUUACUUGAAACGGAUUGAAUCGAGACACAUAAUGGAAUAGAACCCAUGCAAAAACCUAUGAAUGAACCAUUAACUAUGAACCCAAGGGCCCAUUAAUGACCCAAACGAUCAAAGGCAAGCAUGAAACAAGGAUAUGGCAACAAAUGAAAUGACCAAUGACCAGAUGACAGUAGGACAUGGACAUGAACAAGCACAAGAUGCACAUGUGGGAUCAAGUAAUCCAAGGAAUCAAGACCGAUAAACCAAUACGAAUGACCCAUGACCAGGAGGUUGUUGGGUGAAGCUUGAUCAAGUAAGAGAGACACACACAACAGAAUGAUGAUGGACCCAUUAGAUAGGGUUUAGGAGGCCAUACAAAGAGUAUUGGACAUAGUUAGAGUUUGUUGCAACCAUGAUCAAGUGAGGAUUCCAAGAUUAGGGCUUUGCUUUACCACUUAGCCAAAGUUGAGUUACCAAUGAUAAGAACACACACAAACCUCAAGAGCCACCUCCAAUUAGGGUUUGAUUGAUUGAGUCACCUUCAUCUGCAGAGAAAACUUAGCUUCCACCAAAUGCAAGCAUAAAGCUUGGAAUCCACGAUACCCGUCCUCUUGUAUUGGACAAUGACUAUGCAGGUGAAAUGAAUGAUAUAAGGAUAUGCAUAUGAUUAAGGUUAGUGACCUAGAUGAUCUUUGUGAAGGGUAGGGCGAAUUUUGGGGUAUGGCAGAUGAUAUGUAGCGCGCUUUAUAAUUUAUUAACACGACCAAUAGACCAUGGUUGUAAGUAGUCAACUUACAACCACACACUACUUUACCAAUGGGCAUCGACUGUGGUUAUAUCUCUUUCUCAACCGUUGUUGUAUGUUUUAUCUGUAAUAGUGGAUCAAUUUAAUAACAUAUAUUUUGUACGAGAGUUUCACUACGCCGAGCAAUUUUUAUCAAACUUUUUAAAUAAAAAAAUUUUAAAUUGGUUUUUAUGGUAAUAGUCUAUUCAACAUCAUUUUCUAAACCAUUCAAAUUCAUAUUUUCCUUUCCAAUAAAGUUUGUUCUUAUUUUGUUUGUUAGAUGAAAUUGUUUCUAUUUUAAUAAAUUUACUGUAACAAUUUUGUUUAUUAAAGGACCCUCCCGUAUAUCUUUAUUCAUUGAAAAAAUACAAAUUAUUCACAUUAAUUUUCUUAUAAAAAUUGAGAAUUUAGAAAGGCCAAUUGAUAAAUUGUUCUGUCAAAUGAAUCAUACAACACUAGUCCAUUAUAUAAAAAACCCACACUUGAUUUGCCGUCACUACUACAAAAUAGAUAUUUCGUAACAUCAUAUUACAACGGUCUGUUUGUUAACCGUGGUAAUAACUCUUUUUUGGAUUUUUUUUUUGUAUUUACUAAAAGACAUUUCACUAUGGACGUAGUGAAAUGUACCUGGAGUGAAAGGCUUCGAAUCCCAGCACCAAUAAUUUUCUAUUUAUCAUGACAAAAUGGACUUGAACUUGAAUAUCACCAUGGUUCUUAUAAUCAACUUUGGUGUAAGGUGCAAUCAUUUCAUUACGGUUCGUAUUAUCAACUGUGGUGAAAGUUGUUACAUAUUUAUAUAUAAGAGAAACUAUAUCUCGCUUCAGUACAUAACAAUCGUCUAUCUCAAAAAUUCUAACAUGUCUUUCACUCGCUUUAUCAAAACAAAAUCCUAACAUUUGUGUCACUCGUUUCUCUCAUAUAGAAAACUCGAACUUAUGCAGCGAACUUGUUCUUUGAAGGGUUAUCUUUGUUGCAUCAAAUCUUAACAAAUAAUUAUCUUACAGGUUUGUCUUCACAAUAAUUUAUGUUUCAAAAUUGAUUUAUGUAUUAUUUUUUACGUUUAAAUAGCUUGUUUCAUAAUGUUUGAAAUUUCUACUUGUUUUGACUUAUAGGUAGGGAUGGUGAAUGGAAAAAAUUAACGAGGAUGAAGAUAAAGUGAGCGCUGCAAACUUGUGUGAAAGAGUUGUUUCUUGUAUUUUGUAUGUUGUUGAUGAAUGUUGUUGUUAAUGUUUGUUUAAAAUAUGAGUUUAUUAUAUCUUAUGUUGUUUGAGUGUUUUUCCAACUCCUUAUCAAAUAUAUAACUUUUUAGAUUGUAAGCUUAUAUGUUUAGUGAACAUUGACGAAAUAAGCAUUCCACGUAAUUUAUAAUAAACUCAGUGUAUAUAUCACAACGGUUGUUUUGAACAAUUAUUGUUAAAUGUUAUACAUUAAAGAAUAUCACAACGGUUGUUUAAAAUAAUCGUUGUGAUAUGGUGAGUGCUUCAUAGCUUAUAAUCAUGGUCGAUCGUUUUGAAAAACAUCAUAGAUACAACCAUCAUUUACCUCAUAAUUAUUGGAUAGACGUGGUAGUAUUUAUUUUUCAACCAUUAUAAAAUCACUUUUAUGUACUAUUGCGUCCACCAAAAUUAUUAGAAUUUUUUGGUACCGUAACCUAAACAUCCGAUGAAGUAUAUAAUUUCAACCCAAAAUUAAAUCUUAAUAGCAACUAUUUAUAGACUAUAGUCAAACAUUUAUAUAUAGAUUAUAGUCAAACAUUUGAGAUUUAUUAUAGCAACAGGCUUUAUUUUUAACCUCCUAUACAUCCACAUACAACCAUAAACCAUUGAACCUGUAUAUGUCUUCAACUUCAUUAUUCCUUGGGUAUAGCAUAUUUAUAAUCACAAAUAGAUAUAACUAUUUGUUAUAGUUCGUUGUGGAUGCAUUAAAGUUACCCUCAGUAUACCCUCCAUUGCCAUUACCAUUAAAAACACCACUGUUAUUUACAGUGCGGCCGCCACGAUUGUUGGUGGUGCGGUAUUUCAUUCGGUCCCCGGAGUUUGCACCGCUGUUGAUUUUGGCAUUGGAGAAAUUUUGGUCCCCGCUGCCAUGGUUGCUAAAUGCGUUAGCAGUACCAUGGUUGUUGGAUUUUGCAGCUUCGGCUUCUUCAGCCUCAAGCAUGGCGAUGAGGUUUUUGAGCACACGAGAUGACAUUCUUAUAACCUUACUUGAAAAGUGCUAUGAAACCUUAGACUUUUUUGUAUUUGGAUAGUGUUAACGUUGCAACCAAAACCUUAUUAUAUAGAUGAAAGGAUAGGAAUAUGAUGCUUUUGCUUGUUUUUCACGCGAACUUAUAUAGAAUAUUGCAUCUUACUUUUUCUUUUCUUUUUUAUUUUGACUAAGAAUAUUGCUUUUAUCUUUUAUAUCGGUUAGUAAAAAGGGAAAUAAAUUAUUCUUAUACAAUCGAUCAAUGACAACUAUGUAUCUCGUCAAAUCAGUUUAUAAAUUUUAAAUUAUUUAUAUGAUUUGAUAUUUUAAAAUAUUUUGAUUUAAUGUAUGUGUUAUUUUUUUACAUUGACAUUGUAGUAUCAUUAAACUCUAAGAAAAAUAUUGUAAAGAAUUUAUGUAAAAACCACAUAUUCUUUUAAUUUUAAUUUUUUCAAGGACAAAUUCACAAUCCCCACAACUCAAUUUUUUCAAAAAAUUGCAAACUGACUCACCCAUAUUACAAGUUGAUCAAGCAGACCCCGUCAAACACUAGCAACCGUUAAGAUCAAAAUUAGUGUCAAGAGAUCAUGUUGGCUCAAUAUCAUAUCAAUGUUUGGAAAGAAGCCCCGCGAAAGAGAAUAAAUACAACCAUCAUGCAUUAAUCAUGUCGUUACGCUCAUGAAAUCAUUUGCAGGUCACAAUGGCUUAUAAGCCACAAAAGCUAAAGUUCUCUCAGGAACAAAUACAUAGUUUGCUAACAACAUAUCAAACUUGGGACACCAAGAGCGUCCACGUUAGCCUUUUGAUCACCACAUCGUCAAAAUCAGAGUGUCAGGAAGUGAAAACCUUUUUGUAGACCAAAUCCCAGUCUUUCAUUGACCCAAACAUAAAAUCCCAAUCUUUCAUUAGUAACCAAUUGGAAAAAACAAGGACCAAUUUUUCAUUGGCACAUUCAUUUACCAAAAACCCCAAUCUUUCAUUGACCAAAACAUAAAAGUUCAAUCUUUCAUUGACAAUCAAAAAUUUAAAAAUCCAAUAUAUCAUUGGUAACAAAAGAAACUAAAAUCCAAUCUUUUAUCGGUAAUCUAAAAUCAAAGACCAAUAUUUCAUUGGAAUAUUAAGAACCAAUUCACAUUGGUACGCCCAAAUUUCAGCUUUACAUGACCUUUCCGAGAAAAGAAAAUCAAGCCCCACAAUAACCCAACCAUUCGUUUGCAUUUCUACAUACCUUAAUCAUGACAUUUCAUGCAUCACGCAUAGUAUUUUCACUGAGGUGAAGCAUUACGCCAUUAAAAUUUUAAAAAAGCAUGCAUACAUAACAUAAGUUAGGAUUCAGGACCAAUCGCGAGAGUCCAGGUCAAUCCUCAAGCAAGUCAGUGGUAUUUCUCUGAGUGAGUUCCUAUCAUGCAGGAUUUCUUAUCUGGCUUUCCCCAACGAGUCUUUUCCUUUAACUUUUUGUUGAUGAGAAUGAUAUCCUCAGUCGAGUGAGUGGUAUUUCUCUGAGUGAGUUACUACCCUGCAUGCUUUCUUAUUGGGCUUUCCCUAGCGAGUCUUUUCCUUUAACCUUUUGUUGAUGAGGAUGAUAUCCUCAACCAAGUCAAUGGUAUUUCUCUGAGUGAGUUACUACCCUACACAUUUUUUCAAUGGGUUUUUCCCAGUAUAUCUUUUUCUUAAACCUUUUGUUGAUGAGGUCAAUCCUCAAGCAAGUUAUUUUUAUUUCUCUGAGUGAGUUCUUAUCCUGCACACUUUCUCAUUGGGCUUUCCCUAACGAGUCUUGUUCUUCAACCUUUUGUUGAUGAGAAUGAUAUCCUCAGUUGAGUCAAUGGUAUUUCUCUUAGUGAGUUCCUAUCCUGCAUCCUUUUUCAUUCAAUUUCCCCCAACGAGUCUUUUUCUUCAACCUUUUAUUGAUGAGGAUGAUAUUCCUCAAUGAAUCAUUUUCUUCAUCCUUUUGUUGAUGAUAUCACCAAGUAAGUCUUACCCUUUAACCUUUUGUUGAUUACAAUACUCCCUAGCAAUUUUAUUUUCUCAGCCUUUCAUUGAUGAUCUUAUUCGCCAACAAGUCUUUACCACCAUCCUUUCGUUGAUGGCGAUCUUUGAAGUUAUGAUCUCAACAUCAUCCUUUUGUCAAUGGCGAUCUUUGUAAGAUAUGAUCUUACCAUUAUCCUUUCGUUAAAGGAAAUCUUUGCAAGUCGUUGAUCUUAUCAUUGUCCUUUCUUCGAUUGUGAUCUUUGUAAGUUAUGGUCUUACCAUCAUCCUCUCGUUGAUGGUGACCUUUUCAAGUUAUUGAUCUUACCAUCAUCCUUUUGUUGAUGGAGAUGUUUAUAGUUUUGGUCUUACCAUUGUCAUUUUGUUGAUGACGAUCUUUGCAAGUUAUUGAUCUAACAAUCACCCUUUCGUCGAUGGCGAUAUUUUUAGGUGUUGAUCUUACCGUCGUUCUUUCAUCGAUGGUGGUCUUUACAAGUUAUUGAUCUUACCAUCGUCCUUUCGUCGAUGAUAUCCCUUGCAAGUUAUUGAUCUUGCCAUUAUCCUGUCGGCGAUGGCGAUAUUUGCAAAUUGUUAAUCUUACCAUCAUUGUUUCAUCGAUGAAGGUCUUUGCAAGUUGAUGAUCUUACCAUCGUCCUUUCAUCGACGGUGGUCUUUGCAAGUUGUUGAUCUUACCAUUUUCCUUUUGUCGAUGGCGAUCUUUUCAAAUUGCAGGUCUUACCAUCAUUUUUUCAUGUAUGGUGAUCUUCACAGUUCUUGAUCUUACGAUCGUCCUUUCAUCGUUGGAGGUCUUUGCAAAUUGCUAAUCUUACCAUCGUCUUUUCAUCGAUGGAAAUCUUUGCAGUUGUUGAUCUUACCAUCCUCCUCUCAUCGAUGAUGAUCUUUGUAGUUAUUGAUCUUACCAUUUUCCGUUUAUUGAUGUCGAUCUUUGUAGUUAUGAUCUUACCAUUAUCCUUUCGUUAAUGGCGGUCUUUACGAGUUAUGAUCAUACCAUUAUCCUUUUAUCGAUGGCGACCUUUGCAAGUUGUUGAUCUUAGUGUCGUCCUUUCAUUGAUGGUGAUCUUUGAAGUUAUAAUCUUACCAUUAUCCUUUUGUUAAUUCAGAUCUUUUUGAGUUAUGAUCUUACCAUUAUUCUUUCAUUAAUAGCGAUCUUUGCAAGUUAUUGAUCUUACUAUCAUCCUUUCGUUGGUGACGAUCUUUGCAAGUUAUGUUCUUAGCAUUAUCCUUUCGUUGAUGACGAUCGUUGCAAGUUAUUGAUCUUACCAUCAUCCUUUCGUUGAUGGAAAUCUUUACAGCUUCGGUCUUACCAUCGUCCUUUCUUCGAUUGAGAUCUUUUUGGUUAUGAUCUUACCGUCGUUCUUUCAUCGAUGGUGAUCUUUGCAAGAUGUUGAUCCUACAAUCAUCCUUUCUUCGAUGGUGAUCUUUGCAAGUUAUGAUCUUACCAUUGUCCUUUCGUCGAUGACGAUCUUUGCAAUAUGUUAAUCUUACCCUCUUCCUUUUGUCAAUGGCGAUCUUCGCAAGAUGUUGAUAUUUGCAAGUUAUUGAAGUUACCUGUUGCAGCUGAAAAAAUGACAGAGUCGCCACCAUACUUUAUUUGUUUCUAAGGAACGGGAAAAUAAUGAUAAAACCUAAUAGUUAAAGGUGAGAUACUGGGUUCGGGAGUUGGUUAAGUAAGGGGAAGUUACUAAGCACCCCUUACCUCCAUUGUAUUCAAUGGGAUCCUCCUUCAAUUCUAGGGUUAGUGUGCAUUCCUAACGUAUUUGCUUGAUUAAUGGUUGAUUAUUCAAUUUUACAGAAGGUAUUUUACUUAAACGGCUGAGAGACCAAAAAGGUUUUUUAUAAAUGUAUUCUCUAGAGUUUACAACUCUAUGCUUACGUACCUUUGAAUUAGGAGAAGGAUCAGAGUAGCGUAGCUCUUCUUGAAAAUGUUGGUUGGUUGGUUAUUUUUAUCCCUUGAAAAAUGCUCACGUAUCGGGGACAGAGAAAUACUCGAUUUUAGAAAAUGCCCCAAUACACUAGGGUAAAGGUCUUACAAUUUAAAGUGAGUUUGAAUUGAUUUUAUCCCUUUAUCCCUUGCAAAAAAAUAUUAUUUUAAUUUAAUUAAGAAAAUAAAUUAGGAGUCAUAAUUAUGUAUUAGACAUAACCUCUUUAUCCCGAUUUUAAUCUCGAUUUAACCUUUGAAAACCUCUUAGUUUUAUCCCAAAUCAUAUCUCAUGUCUUUAUCCCAUUUGAAUUUGAAAAUAUCAUUUAAUUUAAUUAAUAAAAAUAUAUUAAAUAUGAUAUAAUAAUAUAAUAUAAAAUAAAUCAAAUUAAAGGUAAUACAAAUAAAUUAAAUUGGAUGUCAUAAGAUAUAUCCCCUCCCUAUUUUGUCCCAUUUUUACAUCCCUUAAAACCCUAAAAAUUAUUCCUGAUUUUAUCCCAUACUUCCUGAUUUAAUUACCCCUAAUGUAAAUAAUAUAAAUCCCUAAUUAAUUAAAGUAUUACAAUUAUAAUUAAUCAAUUAAAUAAAUAAAUAUCAUGAAUAACAAAAAUCUAAUUUUUAUUUUCAUUGAAUUACUCCUAAAUAUUAAAUGGGUAAAUCUUAAUUAAUAGUUAAUUAAGUAAUUAAUUAACUAAAAAGUAAUAAAACGAGGGAGGUGUAUUUUGCACUGAUAAGCAAGUGGGCCAUUAGGAGGGGGUGUCAAAAGAAAUAGAGAGAGGCCCAUUGGCCUCUUGGAGCCCACUGCAUCCCGAAGGUCAUCCUGGGAGUUUCAACGAUGGACUUUCAACCAGGAGCGUUUGAUCUGUUGACUGGAGAGUCAACAAUAUCAAACCUCAAGCGUAUGAUGAAAUGACCACGUAAGUAUGCUAAUCGAAGGUACGAUACGCAAAGUCAAAUGGUGGAUCUGGCCGCGUCGGAUGAGUCAAGGGUUAACUCAUCUAAAGGCCAUAUGGAAAGCCACGUGGGGGGAAUCCAGCGGGGCGGAGGCACGCAUUUAAAUCUCUUUCCCUUUAGAUCAUUCCCAUUCUCUCUAUUCACUCUUUAUCUAACUCUUCGUUCUCUCUCUGUUCUUUUCUCUACCCUCUCUUUUCUCUCUAAAAUCUCCCCUCUGAGCCACCCUUCUCCCAUCGUGAACCACCUCCCGAAAAACCACCUUCAACUGGGAUUUUCAUGUUCAUCAUGAACAUGAAGAACACCCAACCCAUAAUCGUCCUUCCCUCGCCCUUUUCCCUGAAAUGGCCACAAACCCCAGAUCUCUGGUUGAAGCUCAAACAGGAUCUUCAAUAAAUGUUCAUCUAGGUGAUGAACAUCAACCCAGAACCCUAAUGAAUCACAAACCCUACCCCAUUUCCCAAAUAAACCCUAGCCCAACCCAGAUGAUCUCUAGGGUUCAUCACAUGAACCCUGACCUUAAUUUUUCCAGAAACACCAAAUUUUCCCUAAUUCAAACCCUAAACCUUGGCCGAUCCAUAUAUCGGCCUUCCCCAAAACCCUAAUUAAAUCCUUAAUCAUCAAAAUAAAACCAUAACCCCCAUUUAAAAUACCCAACGAAAACAAAAUUUAAAACCACAACAAAUCAACGCAAGCAACAAUUCAAAGUAGAAUAUGAAGAUAUAAAGUCCAACCUACAGAAUGGAGAUUUAUUCUGGUUAAGAGGUAAAUUACAAGCCCUUGCUUUUCCUUUGUUCGAUUUGGUUGCUUCCUCUUCUCCCUUUAACUUCCUCUUUUACUUUCUCUUUGAUGCGAGGUAUUGUUGGGGUUGAAUGAUGGCUAGCUCAAAAGAAUUAGGGUUUAAAUGUGAAACCCUAAUUUCUGUUUGAAUUCGGGCUUUUUGUUAGAGAUUGGAUUUGCAGUAACAAGUAUAUUUUGGGGGUUAUCUUUUCCCUCAUUCAUCCGGUCUUAACAUUAGGCUUUUAUAGAUUGAUUUUAGGUUUUAAGAUUUAAUUUGAUUGAUUCAAUUAGGUAACUUAGAAUUUGAUUUUGAUUGUAAUGUGAUUUUGAUUGUUUUUGUGUUAGAAAUAGAGAUUAGGUCUAAAUUGUAACUGAAAUUUGUGAUUUAUGUAGUAUGAAUUUGAUAUGUAGGUCAUAAUUUUGAAUGUAAAUGGAAAGUUUUGAUUAAAAAUUGCAAGUUUACUAUUUGAUUGUGUUGAAUCAGGGGGUGAUUGAGGAAGACGGCCAACAGGGUUUUGGGUAAAAAAAUAAAAAAAAAAGGAUAAAAAUCUGAUUAAAUAGUAACUUAAUUUUAAUAAUUCAUUAAUUAAUAAUAUUAAUAUUCUAAUGAUAAAUAAUAAUAAUAAAUAAUAAGUAAUAAUAAUGUUAAUAUUCUAAUAAUGAUAAAUAAUAAUAGCAUUAAGAAAUAAUAAUAACAUUAAUAACCAACAAUUUAAUUUUAACCAUGUAAUUUGAAUAACUUAGAAAUUCAUCAAAAACUAAUUAAUUUUAAAAGAUCCAAUUAAAAUAUCAACAUCAACCCAAGCCCACCUAAUUUAACAACUUAAUACUCUAAACAAAUUUGCUAAUAUCAAAAUAAAUCCAAUUAAUAUUUAAAUACUUAACAUUAAUUAAAGUCAAUCUUAUCCCUAAUGCCAUUCCUAAAACCUGACUUAAUCCUAAAUGAAUAAAUAUAAAACUAAAUAUUCUCAUAAAAAUUCAAAAUGGUCCCCCUUUGACUUUUUAUGUUAUUGGGGUUGACCAGGUGAAAAUAGGAAGAUUAGGCGGUCAAAAUUUGGGUUACGACAGCUUCCCCUAUUUAAUCAGCUUCGAAUUGAGAUGAUGAUGACAACGAGCCUUCAUCUUCUCAUGAUGGAGAUGAUUAAAUAUAGAUAGGGACCCUAAUUUUGACCCCGAAGUUAGUAGACCCUAAGAAUGAGCGGGGAUUUGACCAAUCUUUGACACUUUGCUGACAUCCAAGCCAAAUUAUGGUGAAACCCCUGAUGAAGCCCUUAACCAAAAUCCUUAACAAAAAUUUCGAUGAAAUCCCUUAUGAAACCCCUAUGCUAUAAUUCCUGGAUAAAACCCUUUGUCAUAAUUCCCUGGUAUAAUCCCUUGAUACAACUGCUGGAUGUAAUUCCUUGAUAUAAUCCCUCGAUGUAAUCCCUUGGUAUAAUCCUUUGAUAUAAUCCUUUGAUUUAAUCCCUUGAUAUAAUUCCUGUAACUUCUGGUAAAAAAAUCCAGGUGCAUUUGAUGAAACGUAUCCCACGUGGUGGAUAGGUUGUUAAUCUAGGGAUGUGAGAGGUAAAGACAUGCUCACUAGUUAAUAACGAUCAUUUGGGACGAUCUACAAUUGGAUAGAUUUCGAAAAACUCACGGUGAAUGAGCUUGCUGGGGAAGUUCCUUAUUGAAAAGGUGUUUAUGGAAGUUACUUGUUAGGGAAGACCAAUAAGUGUCCCUGCUUGAGGAAAUGUAUUGAUAUAGCUGGGGAUUAAACCUCUAAGAGUGGUCACAAAUCAUAUGCUAUGUAUUAGGUAUGUGUGUUUAUGGGUAUGCAUAUUUGAAUUGAUGUAUGUUUUAUGCAUGAUGCAGUUUUUUGGGCCGACGCCUCUUUUUAUGAUAUGUAUAUGCAAUGUCUGACUUUGUGGGAACCAGUGUUUUCAUGACAAGUUAACCCCCUGACCCCUUAGGAUUUUGACAUGUCCAUGGAAAAGGCCAUGAUGCUCUUGAUAUCCGAGAGUAUGCGAUGUGCUCUUUUGAAAAGGAAGAAACGUUUGUACUGGUUAGAUCGUGAUUGUUGAUUUAUGGACAAUGUGUUUUGUUUGAGAGGCAAUGUUGGAAGAAUAUGAUCCCUUUGACUUUUUCAAAAUUGAAGCAAAGUAUGUUUUCUCUUGCAAGCUUUUUUAUUAUGCCCAACGUUUCAAAGCAUUAUUCACAAAUAAUUGACAUUUUAUAAUCAAGCGGAAGAAUUGAAAAGCAAAGAACGAGAUUAAAAAAAUUCAUUAAUUAAGAUUUGGCCCAUAAAUGGGCGAUAUUACAUAACGAAGUAAUUCCCGUAAGGAGAGAUUACCAAAAAUCUAAUGAGAUGUAAAAAAAUGGCAAUGAAAAACAGAUCUAUUCACGUCCCUGUUGAACCCAACAUGUGCUAUUAUCCCUAUGUCUUUGAGGUCACAAUACUUUGCUUCCGACGGUGAUGAUUGAAUUGAUUACACUCAUUUGAAUUUUAAAAGAUCCAAUCAAAAUACCAACAUCAACCCAAGCCCACCUAAUUUAACAACUUCAUAUUCUAAACAAAUUUGCUAAUAUCAAACUAAAUCCAAUUAAUAUUUAAACACUUAACAUUAAUCAAAGUCAAUCUUAGCCCUAAUGUUAUCCCUAAAACCUACCUAAUUUAAUCCUAAAUGAACAAAUAUAAAACUAAAUAUUCUCAUAAAAAGUCAAAAUGGUCCCCCUUUGACUUUUUAUGUUAUUGGGGUUUGCCAUGUGAAAAUAGGAAGAUUAGGCGGUCAAAAUUUGUGUUACGACAUUACCAUUGUCCUUUCGUUGAUGGAGAUCUUUUCAAGUUGAUUAUCAUACCAUCGUCCUUUCUUAGAUGUCUAUAUUUGCAAUUUGUUGAUCUUACCGUCGUCUCUUCGUCGAUGGUGAUCUUUGCGAGUUGUUAUCUUACCAUCGUCCUUUCAUCGAUGGAAAUAUUUGCAAGUUAUUAAUCUUACCAUCAUCCUUUUGAUGUUGAUGAUCUUUGUAAUUGUGAUCUUACCAUUGUCUUUCAUCGAUGGCUAUCUUUGCAAUAUAUUGAUCUUACCAUCGUCCUCACAUCGAUGGCAUUCUUUAAAAGUUGUUAAUCAUACCAUCAUCCUUUUGUCGAUGGAGAUCUUUGAAAUUUGUUGAUCUUACCAUUGUCCUUUUAUAGAUGGUGAUCUUUGCGAGUUAUUGAUCUUACCAUCGUCCUUUCGUCUUUGGCGAUCUUUGCAAGUUAUUGAUCUUAUUGUCAUCCCUUCGGUGUUGAAGAUCUUUGUAGUUAUCAUCUUACUAUCGUCCUUUCGUUAAUGGCAAUCUUUGUAAGAUGUUGAUCUUACCGACAUCCUCUAGUCGAUGGCAGUCUUUGCAAUUUAUGAUCUUACCAUCGUCCUUUCGUCAAUGGUGAUCUUUGAAACAUGUUGAUCUUACCAUCAUCCUUUUGUCAUUGGAAAUCUUUGCAAGUUUUCCAUCUUACUAUUGUCCUUUCGUCGAUGGUGAUAUUUGCAAGUUAUUGAUCUUACCAUCGUCCUUUCAUCGAUUGCGAUCUUUGCAAGUUGUUGAUCUUACCACUGUCCUUUCGUUGAUGGAAUUCUUUGUGAGUUGUUAAUCUUACCAUCGUCCGUUCGUCGAUGGCAAUCUUGACAUGUUGUUGAUCUUACCAUCUUCCUUUCAUCUAUGGCGAUCUUCACAAGUUGUAUCUUACCAUUGUCCUUUUGUUGAUGGAAAUCGUUGCGAUUUGAUCAAUAUCAACUCGCGAGUUGAUAUUGAUCCAUUAUUCUAACCCAAUAAUAUUGUUUUUCUUAAUCUCAUUACACUUUGUAUUUUCAAGACAAAAUUUGAGGUCUUUUCUUAUUUAACUGGCUUCUACUCUUAAAGUAUGAAAAUUGUGGCUAUUCAUUCUCCUGGGUUCAAGGAAAUUAUAUAGGGACAAUUGUCAUACCAUAAUUUUUUCCUACCAUCCAUCUAUGGUUUAACAUAUUUUGCAUUUUGCAUCUUUUGUAUUUUUAGGUCUGAAUCUAGUUGAACUUAGAAACCAUUUGAUCAAGGUCUCAUUCACAUCUCCAUCCCUAAUAAUUCAUUUGGCUUAUGGCCAUUGGCAUUCAUGUUUUAGACCUUGCGUAGGAUCAUAAUUUUCUCAUUUCAUGCAUAUGUUUAUAUAUUGGGUCAUAUGGCAUUUGCAUUAUUCUUGCAUUUAAACAUGACUCAUCAUUUGUCAUCUUUCAUUCUUUUAAUCGAUUCUUGAAUUCAUGAUUCUAUGUUAAUUGUGAAUGAUGAAGCUUAUCCUAAUUUGUCCAAUAUGCUUUAUAUUGGUAUUAUGACAAAUACAUUUAAAGUUCAAAUGAAAGUCAAAUGUUGGUUUGGGCCUUCAUAUUUUACAAAGAAAGUAUUUUUUUUACAAUUGGAUAAAAGAGCAUUUUUUAUUACACUUUUAAAUAUUACAUAAGUGGCAUUAUACAUGCAUCAUUUUAAUUUUAAAUACAAAGAAAUACAGUAUUUUAUUACAUAGUUUGUACCUUAUACAUUUUAAUAUCAAAUACAAAAAAAAAGGAAGUACAAAAAAAUUAUAAAAUAAAAGAGAAAAGUUUUGUUUUUCCACGCGGAUCCAAUGCUUUAUCAUGAUACCACCAUCACUUUGGUUUCUCUUCAUAACUCAUCCUCAACCAUGCUUCAUGCUAUAGCUAAUGCACAUCAUCCAUAAAACAAGGAAAAUUGAGAUAAUUUGAAAAAAUGAAAACGAGGCAUUACACAAGUUUUGAAGAAGCAAAUGAAUACAUUCAGAUGGAUGGAGAUGUGAAUGAGACCUUGAUCAGAUGGUUUCUAAGUUCCAUACACCAAUUCACAUACACAACAUACGUACUAUAUACAUACAUCCAUAAUUUAGUUUGUAAUGAAUUAAAUUGAUCAAAAUAUAGAAUAAUUUGAAGCAGCAAGAAAUGAGUGAUUCUAUUCACCAUGCCCAUAAGUUCACACACAUACAUAUAAGCAUCAUAUAAUUGAAUUGCAAACAAAGUCAAAAUAGCAAUGCCAAAACACGUAACCCCAUACAUAUCAUCAUUUAUAUCAUCAAGAUCUAACAUUAUACAUCCAUUGAUUUGAAAAUUGAAUUAAAAACAAAUUAGCAGCAUGCAGAAAUGCGUGAGCAAACCAACCUAUCAUCCAUCACCAUGUCACAACAUCAUCAUCCAUCAUCAACAAACACAAAUUCUAACAUAUUCUAACAAAUUCACUCAAUCCAUUUCACACAACUUGUUCACACGGAUUAUCAAAAUAUCACAUGGAUCACCACUUUCAUUUCCCUCCAAAUUGAUCAAAUCAAAAGGUUGUCAAAAUCGAGAUCUUACCUGAGAUCGGAAGAGAAUAUGAAGAUCGUAAAAUAUAAAAUCGUAGUUAAGAUCGGAAGAUCCUACCCAAUUAUUUUUGUAAGAUCGAAAGGGGUAACAAGAUCAUAAAACAUAAGAUCACAACAAAAAUCGUAAGAUCCUACUAAAAUGAAAAAAUAAUAUUAUAUAUUUGAAGUAUUUUUAUAUGUUAGUAGGCAAGUGUAUUAGUGAGAAAAUGACUUUUUUUUAUAUUCUUUAGAUAUGUAUCUUUGAGUUUUUAUACUUUACUACUGCAAAAUGGAACAUUUGUUAGACAUUAAGGACAUAUUUAAUCAAUGACUAGGAUUAUCAUAAGUCAAUUAGUUAAAACAAAUCCUAUAAAUCAGAUGUUUAUUCUCAAAACCCUAAAUCUAAAACUUCAUAAUUUCAAAAGACACGCAUUUGUCUCUGUCGAACCAAAAUUGGUGUGCCUCUACAUCUUGUCAUCCUUCUCACAUUUUAAGAUAGUAGCCGAAAAACGGUCAAUCAUAGUCGAAACUGGCAAAGAUCCCACAAAAUCAAUAAUUUUACGAUUUUUCCCCACAAUUUGACUACAAUACAAGAUUCUACUUAAGAUCCGGAUCGCAAGGAUUGAAUGAGAUCGUAAAAUCUUAAGAUUUUAAGAUCUAGAUCGAGAUCUUGACAACCAUUAAUCAACUCCUUUUCUCUCUCAUCACACCAAUUAUCUCCCAAUAAAUAAACCUAUUGGUUACUCUCUAAAAAAAAUCUUGAAGUCUUGCCAAAUUGAUACCUCUCCACUCACUAAAAUCUCACUCUAAAAAACUUCAGAGAAGGGUAGAAUGAGAAAAUAAAAACAAAACCAGAAGCGAAAAGUAGAGAAAAAAUGAAGCAUGAAACUCGCAUGAGGUUGGCUGGGAACUCGCCAGCUCUGGCGAGGCCUUCUUCUCCAUCUUUCAUGCACUUUAUUUAUGAUUAUAUGUUUGCUACAUGAUUUUGGUACGCUUGAUUACACAGUUGUAUGAUUGUACACUAUUAAUUGCAAAGUUUUACAUCUAGGGUUUUGGUUUAGGAAUUUGUUUGAUCUGCAAAUUAGUUAGUUGGUUGUUUAAACUGAUUGAGGAUUCGUGUUUUGCAUAAGGUUUUAGGCUAGGUUGAUGUUUGAUAUUUUGGUGUUUGGUUAUUUUUUAAUGAAUCUGGGUUUGGAGGUAUGAACACCAUUGUGGUGUUCAUACUUGUAGGUGUUUAAUUGGCUGCAUUGUAUGGUAAAACACUAGCUGGAUUCUAAUGUCUUGACUGAUGUCAUGACAUGUUGUGAAGGUGUCUGUGUAACUGCAUUGUAGGUUAGAAUAUCUAAUCUGUACUCUGAUGUCUUGACUAAUGUCAUGACAUACUUGAGUAGCUUACUGCAGGAUUAGCUAAUACAGGAUUAUUGAAUGUCAAAUUGGAUGUGGUGACAUUAAUCCUAUCAGCAGAUCGAGGAAUAGACAGUUGGUGUUCUGUUAGAGCUCAGUAUUCAUUUCCAGUAUGGUUUCAAGGAAGUACAGACCUGGCAUAAGGCUACUAUCUGAAUGCAACUGGAUGUUUGACAUUCAUCAUGGACAGCAUAUACUGACAAUAGACAGAGUGGUGUUCUGCUACACUUUAGUAUGUUUUUCAGUUGUUCUUCAAAGGUAACAGAACUGUUAAGGCUAAUGUGUAAAUGUCAAAUUGGAUACUUUGACAUGUAUUAAUGUAAGCUGCUACUAUAGAAUGGACAGUUUGGUCUGUACAGUUCAGCAAACUUGUACAGUCUGUUUUCAGGAAAACAGACUUAGCAUAUGGCCUUGAUGUCAAGCUGAAUGUGUGACAUUCAUUCCUGAAGCAUAUGCUAAAUUGUAGGUUGUUUAGUUUUUCUGUUUCAGCUUUUCUCAGGCUAUUCUUCGGGAUUCAACAGCUGGAGAAAUUCAGGAAAUCAACACCAAAUACAAUUAUGAACCUAACAAAUAGCCUAUUUGUUAGUAACCUAGAUGUGGAAUUUAAGAAAACUCGCGUGACUUAAAUUUAGGAGAUACAAGUGCAAGCCCAAGUACUGCAAUAUAAAAGGAAGUCGUUCCUUCAUUCAGAAUGGGAUUUGAGGCGUGAAGAUUUAGUGUUCCUCAUACUUCCUGCUGUAUUUUUGUGAGUCUUGUAUUAGACAUAUCUUGUAAACCAAGUUGUUACCUCGUAGAUGAUUGCUUGGUGUAUGGUGUUCAUGGUUGUAAGUGUGUGUCACUCUAAGCUUGUAAGCGUGAGUUUGUGUAUCUUGAUUAAAUGUUAAGCACAAUCAAGAUGUUUGAAGUUGACUUCAAAAUGUCUUAAUAUUGAUAAGGUAGUAAUCACUGAGGUGUUGAGGGGAGUGAGUAGGAACUCCGAUCUUAGUGUAAGAUUGAAAUUGCAUUGGGUAGGGAUUAAGUGAAGAGUUGUAAAGGGUGAGUUUAGCUUUGAAUUAAUACUACGAUGUGUGAUUUCCUCCUGGCUUGGUAGCCCCAGAUGUAGUCAUGUGACUGAACUGGGUAAACAAUUACUUGUGUUAUUUACUGCAGCUUACUUUUAAGUCUGCAUAUUCGUGUCUGUGCAGAUUUGGAGUCAUAACAACCGUGUGACAUCGAAGUAUGAUACUAGAAUUUCAAUUGGCAUCAGAGCAGGCACCCUGCUGUUAAUUUCUGGGUGAGAUCUAGGAAGUUAUUCUAGUUCCAUGGACAAGGAUUAUGACACUCAAAUAGACACCCAUGUUGGAUGGCUCUAACUAUGAUGACUGAAGCCUCGUAUGAUAGCUCUUGAGUCUCUAGAUAGCAAAGUCUGGAGAGCUGUCAAACAGGAUGGGAACUCCACGAAGACAGGUGAGAUGGAGUCAGUGUGCAAAUUCCUGAAGAAGAAUGGACAAGGAGCAAAGGCAUUAGCCUUGGAAAUUCUAGGCUUGAAUGCAUUAUUCAAUGGAAUCAGUAAGAACAUCUUCAGGCUGGUACACCACGUGAGCUAGCUAAUGAAGUUUGGAUACCUCAGAUAACUCAUGAAGGUACUUCCAAGGUGAAGAUGUCCAAACUUCAGUGCUGACCACCAAGUUUGAAAAUCUGAGGAUGAAAGAGGAUGAGACUAUUCAUGACUUUCACAUAAUAUUUGAAUUGCAAACACCUCUGGUGGAUUAGUGAGAAAAUGGCUGAAGAAAACUUGUAAGAAAGAUUCUCAGGUCCUGCCUAAGAGAUUUGCUAUGAAGGUCACACCAUAGAGGAGGCUCAGGAAUCUGCAAUAUGAAGGUGGAUGAGCUCAUUGGUUCUCUCCAAACCUUUGAAUGGCUUGUGUGAGAAUGCGAAAAGAAACACAGGUGCGUAGCUUUUGUAUGUAAUGUGAAGGGAGUCAGAAGCAGGAUAUACUGGAGGUGAUGAAAGCAUAUCAGAACCUUAGCCAUGCUUGGGAGACAGUUCAACAAGUUCGUGAAGAGAUUGAUCAUAAGAGGUAGACUUAAGUCAAGAACAUCCCGUCUCGAAUCAGAAAGGAUCAUCUCGAGAAAAGUUCAACCAAGGCAAGGAAUCCAGUGUCAUGGUUGUGAGGGUAUGGACAUGUCAGAGCUGAAUGCCCUACUUACUAAGAUGCAAAAGAAGGGCUAGCUAUCACAUGGUCUGAAGGAGAUUCUGAAGUGAAUCUGAAGGAGAAUCUGCUAAUGUCACGCUAGCCAGUGUAUUGGCAUUGGAUGUGACUCAAGUGCAGAUGAACUGACCUUUGAGGAAAUUGCUGCAGCUUAUAAGAGCUAUGUGUCACCAGUGCAGGAAGUGGUGUACAAGGAGAAAGCAGAAGAAUCAUCAAGGAGCUGGAAGAUCAGAGACAGAAGCAGCUGACGCCAUAGAGGGUAAAUGGUGAGAUAACCCUGUGACUCCGAGUGACAGAUGACUACAAUGCCUAUGAGAUGAUUGAAUAAAGGAAGUGCAUUUGGAUGAGAUCUAAAGGUGGGACAGAGUCUGGACCAUUGUUGUAGGUUUGGAAAAUCUCAGCUGAACACACGCCAAGCUAAACGUUCAGAAUUCAAACGGAGGUCAAUCCAGUUCACACGGGUACAGGAUGAAAUAUCAUCAAAAGAGGAAUUCCAGAAUGGAGAUUGUCACCAUCGUGGUAGGCUGGGCAUAUAAAGCUUCUGCUACGGCUUCAUGGUACCUAACCAAGUCUCAUGUCAGGCCUAGCAUAAGACAUAUAGCACAUGUCUCAAACAAGAGAGACAAUGUAUGCUAGGUUAGCUACACAUCUCUAGGCUUCUACCAAAGAAGACUGGUACUUUGACAGUGGAUGCUCAGGAAUAUGACUGUAUGAAAAUCUAUUGGUAGAUAUUCAACCUCACACUACCAGCUAUGGACUUUGGUGAUGUGUAAGGAAAAUAAAAAGGUGUGGCAAGCUGGACUGCUGCUGGAGUUCCAAAACUGAUAAUAUGUUGUUAGUAAGAGGACUAACUGCAAACGUCAUAGCAUAAGCCAGAUGGCUGUGUGAUCAAGGGUUCUAUGUUCAGUUUACUAAGCGAGCUAUGUAUUGUGAACGAAUGGUGACAAUCAGGAAGUUAUGAGAGGAUGGUCCAAGAUACUGCUAUCUGUGGGAACGCUAAAGUCUGCAAACUUGUCCACAAUCUGCUCUCUCGCCAAGGAAGACAGGAGGUGAAGCUGGUGGCAUAGACCCUUGGACUUCACUUACGGGGAAUGAGAAGAUGCAAUAUGCAAGAAGCAGGUCGGGAAUUCAAAGCUGCUUAUUGAUGAAGGAAGUACGUCUGUGGAGAAUGCCUAGGUGGGUCAACCAAACCAAGAUGUCACAGUCCGAGCUGGGACAUCCUACAACUUCCAGAGUUCUGGAAUCUGUUGGGCACAUGGAGCUUAGUGUGAUCGCUAUUUGGCAGGUUGAAAGUCUGGGUGGAAAGAGAUAUGCAUACGUGGUGGUUGAUGAUCAUUCCAGAUAACACGUGGAUAGCUUGUAUCAGAGAGAAGUCAAUACAUUUGAUGUCUUCAAGACAUGUGCAUCAGACUCGCAAGGGAAAGGACAGUUGUGUUGUCCGAAUUAGGAGUGAUCAUGGUAAUGGAAAUUCAAAAUUCAAGUUUGAUAGAGUUUUGCUCGUCUGAGGAUAAGUCAUGAGUUUGCUCCCUAUAAAUCCGCCAGCAGAAUGGACUAGUUGAAAGGAAAAAUAGCACUAUUCAAGAAAUCUUCAGAGCUAGUUUAUCAAAGAAGCUCCUAGACUUUUUGGGCUGAAGGCUAUGAAUACCAUACCGCGUGCUAUGUCAUAGAACAGAGUCCCUUGAGAAAAGGAACCUCCUCACUCUGUAUGAAGAUAUGGAAAGGCAGAAACGCCCUGUGAAAGUACUUUCAUAAUUCUUGGGAAGUAAUGCUACAUCUCAGAGAUCGUGAACAGAGAAGGAAACUGAUCCAAAAGUGAGAGGUAUAUUUCUAGAUACUCCACUAACAAGCAUGAGCUUACAGAGUGUUCACUACCGGACAAUGUCCUGAUGGAAUCCAUAAAUGUAUGUGGAUGAUAAAGAGGAGGUCGUGUCAUAGAGGAUGUUGAACAUUCCUUGACAGUUCAACGCAGACAUUCAGUCAAGUCUGAGAGUAGCAGGAACCUCCUGCCUGAAUGUGAGUAGAUGCAACACUCAAAAUGCAUCUAUCAGAAUUCAGAAAGACAUCCAAGGAUCUUCAUCAUAGGGAUGCCAUAGUUGGUGGUGACUGACGCAGGUCAAGGGAUAAAAUCAAAUUCUGGUUUUGUAUCGCAAGGUUUUUUUUUUGAAAAAAAAAAAACCCGAAAGAAUGUUGAAAGAAGCCCUGAAUGACGACUACUGGAUGCAUGGCCAUGCAAGAGGACUUGAGCAGUUUAAAAGCGAAUGAGUAUGGGAGUUAGUUUCCAAGACCUGAAGGGAGCCAAUAUCAUCUGGUACGCGAGAGGUGAUCUACAGAAAACAAGUCUGAUGAGAAGGGAGUAAUUAUAGAAUAGAGCAAGAGUAGUAGGCUCAAGGAUAUACUCAAGUGAAGGGGUUUGAUUUUGAUGAGACGUUUGCUCUGGUUGCUAGGCUUGGUCAUCAGAUGCUGUUAGUGUAACAUGUAUUGAAGUUAACAUGUUCAAAUGGAGUGAAGAUGCAAUUCUUGAAUGCUACCUGAAUGAAGAAGUCUAUGUGAAAAUCUAAGGGUUCUGUGAUCCUACCAACCUAAGAUGUACAAGUUGAAGAAAGCCUUGUAUGGGUUGACAGCUCCUAGAGCAUGGGGUUAGAAUGCAGGUGACAUGAUGAUUUCUGACCUCAAAUGGAUAUCAGAAAAGGUGGAUACGAUAAACUUGUUUGUGAAAGAUGAAGAAGGAAUCAUGAUUGCUCAAUCUAUGUGGAUGAUAUAGUCUUGUGGAAUGUCAAGAACAAAUCGGUAAAACAUUUUGUUCACCAAAUGCAAUAGAGCUGAGUUUGAAAUGAGUCUGGUUGGGAUGACUUAUUUUCUUGGAAUGCAAGUCAACCAAAUGGAGGACUCUAUGUUUUCUCUCUCAAGCAAGUAUGCAACACACAUGUAAGGAAGUUUGUAUGGAUAAUCGUAGGCCAGCAAGAGACUCCUGCUCCUAUACUCAUCUAGAAGUUACGCAAAGAUGAUGGAGGGGCUAGUGUUGAUCAAGUGUCUGUAUAGAAGCAUGAUCAGGCCAGUCUCAACCUACUGAAGUAAGACGUGACAUUUCUUUAUGGCAGUUGGACGUGUGUGGCUAGAUACCCAGCAGAGCCUAAAGUGAGGUGCCACUUGAUCAGUCAAAAGGAUUUCCAGGUACAACUCAAUGGACUUGUGACUAUGGGAUGCUGUAUCUCACAUGGUUUGAGGCCUGUCCUAUCUGGGUAUUGUGCUGCUGAUGGGCUGGGAGUGUGAUCGACCGAAAAAGACAUCAGGGGUUUGUUUCUUUCUUGGGAGACAAUCUGCGCUCAUAUCUUCGGUCAAGCAAGCAGCAGAAUUGGUAUCCCUGUCCACUGCCGAGGCGUGCAUACAAGCUCUGGAAGGCAGUUGUUCCGCACUGGUUUGGGAUGAAAAGAUGCUCACUGAGUAAAUGUCCUCAAAUGUCAUGACAUUGUUUCUGGAUAAUCUCAGUGGCCAUCAAUAUUCUCCAAGAAUCCCAUCCAACACAGCAAGGAGUCUCGCAAACAUAUUGACAUUAGACUAUAUUUCAUCAGAGAUCUGGUGGAAGACAAGGUGAUUACCUUGGUACAUGUAGCCACUGAACUUCAACUGGCUGACAUAUUUACAAAGGCUCUGGAUGCUACUCAGUUUGAAAACUUAAGGGGCAAACUGGGAAUAUGUCACUCUGAGAACUUAUAGCAACCAAUGAUGUUUGGAAUGUAUUGUUUAAUAUCUCUGCCUAUUAAACAAUUCGAACUAUGCUCUGAUUGGUCAACAGAUCAUAGCUAUGCCACUUACAACAAGUGUGGCUAUAAGAGGAUAAGGAGAUAUCCUAACGUGAGGCGGCCUAUGCACCUGCAGGAGUUCAAGGACGUUGUUCAUGCAGGAGUGGUUUUGGAUGUCAGAAACAAAGUCAUGGCAUCUGAUAUGGCUGUACCUACUGUAAAGCAAAAGUGGGUGAUUACCUGAUCAAAGUUGUGAAGCAAGAUCAAGUGGGUGCUAACUUGGUUGAGACUAUGAGGAAAAACCAAGUCUGUAAGUCUGUCAUUUGUGUGUAAUUCUGUUUUUUCUGUGGUCUGUAAUUUAAAGUGUUACUUUGGCAACAUUUUUGACAAAAAGGGGGAGUAACAGGUGAUACCCCAGGACAACAGAUUAGUGUGUUGAAACAGAUAUUCAUGACAGAUUCAAGAUUCCCUCCCCUGCAGCUGAUGUGUGAUGAAGUUUUUAUUUAACUUCUGUAUGUGUGCUGAUGUGUGUGUGAAGUUUUUAUUUAACUUCCAUGUGUGUGAGUGUGUUGUCACUCUGAGUGUAUUAGCUAGGUCUAUUUCCUGCUAGAUGUGUGAUUUCCGCUGCUAUGAACUCUGUUGUGGGAUCAAAGUGUUUUACCCAAAAAUUUGCCAAAGGGGGAGUUUGUAGGUGUUUAAUUGGCUGCAUUGUAUGGUAAAACACUAGCUGGAUUCUAAUGUCUUGACUGAUGUCAUGACAUGUUGUGAAGGNNNNNNNNNNNNNNNNNNNNNNNNNNNNNNNNNNNNNNNNNNNNNNNNNNNNNNNNNNNNNNNNNNNNNNNNNNNNNNNNNNNNNNNNNNNNNNNNNNNNNNNNNNNNNNNNNNNNNNNNNNNNNNNNNNNNNNNNNNNNNNNNNNNNNNNNNNNNNNNNNNNNNNNNNNNNNNNNNNNNNNNNNNNNNNNNNNNNNNNNNNNNNNNNNNNNNNNNNNNNNNNNNNNNNNNNNNNNNNNNNNNNNNNNNNNNNNNNNNNNNNNNNNNNNNNNNNNNNNNNNNNNNNNNNNNNNNNNNNNNNNNNNNNNNNNNNNNNNNNNNNNNNNNNNNNNNNNNNNNNNNNNNNNNNNNNNNNNNNNNNNNNNNNNNNNNNNNNNNNNNNNNNNNNNNNNNNNNNNNNNNNNNNNNNNNNNNNNNNNNNNNNNNNNNNNNNNNNNNNNNNNNNNNNNNNNNNNNNNNNNNNNNNNNNNNNNNNNNNNNNNNNNNNNNNNNNNNNNNNNNNNNNNNNNNNNNNNNNNNNNNNNNNNNNNNNNNNNNNNNNNNNNNNNNNNNNNNNNNNNNNNNNNNNNNNNNNNNNNNNNNNNNNNNNNNNNNNNNNNNNNNNNNNNNNNNNNNNNNNNNNNNNNNNNNNNNNNNNNNNNNNNNNNNNNNNNNNNNNNNNNNNNNNNNNNNNNNNNNNNNNNNNNNNNNNNNNNNNNNNNNNNNNNNNNNNNNNNNNNNNNNNNNNNNNNNNNNNNNNNNNNNNNNNNNNNNNNNNNNNNNNNNNNNNNNNNNNNNNNNNNNNNNNNNNNNNNNNNNNNNNNNNNNNNNNNNNNNNNNNNNNNNNNNNNNNNNNNNNNNNNNNNNNNNNNNNNNNNNNNNNNNNNNNNNNNNNNNNNNNNNNNNNNNNNNNNNNNNNNNNNNNNNNNNNNNNNNNNNNNNNNNNNNNNNNNNNNNNNNNNNNNNNNNNNNNNNNNNNNNNNNNNNNNNNNNNNNNNNNNNNNNNNNNNNNNNNNNNNNNNNNNNNNNNNNNNNNNNNNNNNNNNNNNNNNNNNNNNNNNNNNNNNNNNNNNNNNNNNNNNNNNNNNNNNNNNNNNNNNNNNNNNNNNNNNNNNNNNNNNNNNNNNNNNNNNNNNNNNNNNNNNNNNNNNNNNNNNNNNNNNNNNNNNNNNNNNNNNNNNNNNNNNNNNNNNNNNNNNNNNNNNNNNNNNNNNNNNNNNNNNNNNNNNNNNNNNNNNNNNNNNNNNNNNNNNNNNNNNNNNNNNNNNNNNNNNNNNNNNNNNNNNNNNNUUGUUUGAAGUGUGACUUCAAAAUUGUCUUUAAUAUUGAUUAAAGGUAGUAAUCACUGAGGUGAUUGAGGGGGAGUGAGUAGGAACUCCGAUCUUAGUGUAAGAUUGAAAUUGCAUUGGGUAGGGAUUAAGUGACAAGUUGUAAACGGGUGAGUUUAGCUUUGAAUUAAUACUACUGAUAGUGGAUUUCCUCCCUGGCUUGGUAGCCCCCAGAUGUAGGUCAUGUUGGACUGAACUGGGUAAACAAUUACUUGUGUUAUUUACUGCACUUACUUUUAAGUUCUGCAUAAUUCGUGUCUGUGCAGAUUUGGAUGUCAUAACAACCCGUGUGACAUCGAAAGUCUGAUAACUAGAAUUUCAAUACUCAACCACUGCAUUCAAUCCAUGUUGGUUGGUAGUGGAAAUGUCAUGUUUUAGUUGUUUCACGGUAGGCCAGAGAGAGAGAGAGAGAUAAUGAAAUCCACGUGACUGAUUCCUCAUAUUUGACCUCUCUCCGACAUUCCCCUUUGAUCGAACGUGUCAAUACAUGGACAUUUCCUAAACCCUUGGAUCCAUUGACUUGGUGUGUGUUGAAUGGGUCAUGUGUGGUACCCUUGAUCUCUUUACCAUGUCCCCUCUAAUGUCCACCCUGCAGCGGUAAAAAUUUGAUAUUAAGUUAUUGAUUAAGUUAACUUACAAAGCAACAGUCGUCACCGCACUUUUAUUAUUUCCAAAGGAAAAUGGAAAAAUCACGAACAAACCCCAAUGAAGUUUUAAAACAAAAAUAAUAGAAAGAGAUAUGGGCUCAGGGGUUAAUUAUAAAAAGGGAAGGUAUUAGAAUCCUAAACAUCCAUGGUACUCCAUGGGAAGCUCUUUGAAGAUGUGUACACUUUGGUUUAAAAAAGGUGUUGUUUGUAAAAGAUUGGAGGGAUGGGAAAAGAAGUAUAUUUUUCUUAAUUUUUGCAUUUGCCAAGACUUUUGAAGUCUCAUGCCUAUGUACUAAUAAAGUACAAUGGAGGAUCAAAACCUCGUAGUUCGUGGUAAAAAUAUCAAAGAUCACUAUGCCAAAAACUGGAAUAGACAGCGCACCUUAGAGGGCGCUUUAUUACAAAAACGCACUCUAAAGUGAAGAGAAAAAAUAAAGAGCGAACAACUGGAAUAGACAGCGUACUUUAGAGGGCGCUUUUGUAACAAAGCGCCCUCUAAAGUGAAGCGAAAAAAUAAUGAGGAAAUGGAGGGACACCAAUAGAGGGCGCGUUUAUGAAAGCGCCCUCUAAGGGUACCCUUAGAGGACGCGCUUUUAAAAAGCGCUCUCUAAGUCCAUGUACAUUUCCAAUUUAAAGGCGCUUUUGGGAAAGCCUAUAGAGAGCGCUUUACGAACGCCCUCUUAGGCCCGCCUUUAGCAGGGCGCUUUUUUUUACACAGCGCCUCUACGGUCCCCUUUCAGUAAACCCACUACAUUCAGCUACUAUCUUGGCAUCUCAUUAUAUAUUUCACACUCCUAUCGCCAAUCUCUUUACGUAAGGUUUUUCCUCGCGUACUCGUCUCGUGCGAUACUCGUUCCUCGCUCACGGCGUCGAUGCGUGCUUUUUCCUGUGCUACGUUAGUUACAUUAUUCCACCUGUUACCCAUCGUUACCGAACUAGAUCACAUAGUGGUAUUCAGGUGUUUGAUAGGUUUUCUAAACUGAGUUUACAUUUGUGCAUUAUGUUUGAUAAUGUUGUUUAGGGCAAACGAGCAUAUAUGGGUUGCAUGAGCACCUUGUUGAAAAUCAUUUUUUGUAUAUUUUUGUUAGGUUUUGAUCACUGAAUGUGUAUGUGUAUGGUUAUGGUAAGGUUUUUAUUUCUGAUUAGAAAACUGAUGUCAUUUGGAGUGUGUUUGAGCUUGUGCUGGAUGUUUGAUGAUUAUGGAUGCAAGUUUGUUCUGUUCAAACACCACCUAAGUUGGUGCAUUGGUCUUGGUGUCAGUAGGUGUGUGUGAGUUUGUAUCAUAAUGAUGAAAAGAGAGAGUUUAGAUUGUUGUAACAUGAAGAGAAAUGGAAGGUAUUAAUGAAUGUGUUUUUGUGUAGGCUUCAGCGAAUAUGGUCAUUGUCUUAACUGGGUCUUAUUGAAUCAUUUCUAUAUUAACAGAUAAAAUGGCUAGUACAAACCAAGCGAUACCCAUGACGCGAUGGAUCACUGUACAAUGUUGAAAAUGAAAUCAAACGAGGCAUUGACGUUAUAAGUCAAUCAUUCGUGCAAGAAGAUCAAGGGUUGAAAAAGCUUCGAAGUAACAUUGGACGUGCUGAAGACCAACUAAUAGCCUAACGGUUCAAUGUUGGCAAGUUAUUGUUCCUUGUUCGACAACAUUUCCAUUAAUGUGAUAAUUGGAGAAGCGGAAUUGAAAGUUGGCAAAGAAAAAAUAUGGUCCGAGAUGCAGGUACUACCAUAUAUUGGUUAUAUGUUUUUUUUGUUGACUAUUUGUUGACCAUAUAUUGUUGUAAUAUUCACUUAAAUAACACACUCCAUGUGUAUGUUUUUAAGAGAUCCUUCACAAUCGAUGAAGCCGACAAAAAUAUUGUAUUAAUUGGCCGAGAAUAAGACCGCGAGGCUUUCUCCUUUUGUCCAACUAAUUUCUCAAGGAUGUAUGGAAGGAAAAUUUGUUGAAGCGAGAACGGCCAAUGAAGUAUGCGGAGAUUAUUUCAGCCGAAGCCAGGGAUAACUUUGUCGCCAAACGAAGAAACGAAAACAUCCCAUGUAAUGUCUAUUAAUAUGGUAUUGAUACAUUGUUUAAGUACUUGGUUUUGAUAUGCCUAAACUUUUUAUCCGGCAAGAAGGCGCAAAAAUCGAAAAGGGCAUCAAAACCCGCCCGUACCGUACAAAAAAGGCGUACGGGAUAUGGCACGGUUGUAAGACCCCAAUUUGGCCCUAAGACCCUCAUGGCCAUAUCAUCUCAUAUCAUAGGCCUCAAGGAUCAUUGCAUGCCUUUGCUUCCCUCCUAGUGGUGGUUGCCUUGUGUGUGUGGUCUUGAUCACCAAGCGUGUUUGGCAUUUGUAUAUUAUUGCUUUUCAUAUGUUUAUCAUCCAAAAAGUACAAAAAUAUUGUCAGUCUAACCUUGUUGGCUUGCAAAGUUGAAGCAAUUAUCAGCAAUAGGUCAAGACAGUCAACAGUCAGUGCAAAGCAAUGGAUGGUGGCCAUUCUUGCAGAUUUGGGGCACCAUAUGAUCAAUAAAUCAAAGAGUUCAUACAACUGGACAUCAUGAAAUCAAGUCUCAAGGGAUUAGGUUUGAAAUCAUCAGAAGGUUCAAUCAUGCAAAACCCUAGAAAAGUCAAACAAGAAAGUCAAACUUGUCAAGCUGGCCAUUUAAUCAGUGAUUUGAUGGACUGGAUAUUGAUUUGAAGGAGUUCAUUCAUGUCUAUAACAACACUAUAUCAUGUCCAACUCAUCAUGGAAGAAUUUGAAAGUCAAACAGAAAAUUUCCAGAAAUGGAAACUGGACCUGUAAACUGAAACUGCCAUAAAUGGAAAAGUCUUGAAAUCCUCAAACCUUACAUCAUGAUACAAGCUUCAAAUGAAUUUUUGCCCCCACAUGAAAGAAGAUCUUGUCUCCCAUUUGCCAAAAGUCCAAGAACCUCACCUUUCCCAUGUGUGGUUGCAAGUUAUGACGACAUCGAUUUGCAGAAAUCUUGAACCUUCAAAGGCCCAUAUCUCCCAAACCGUUUGGCCAAUUUUGGUGGGGUUUUUUCCUACAAGUCACAUUUGAUCCCCUCUUUCCAAAAUAUUAAAUUUCAUGUGCCAAAACUUACCAAUCAAAAUGGCAUAUUUGACAUUUUCAUUUAAAUGUAAAGUUGACCAAGAGUUGACUUUAUGAUAUCAACAUUUUUUCAAACAUUGGCCAAUUGGAAGGCUUAAAAUAUCAUUAAGUAGCAACAGCUCAUUCUGCAGUACAUGUGGCUCAUUGCUUGGUUGCUUGAAUCGUAAGGAAAAUACAAAUUACACCAUCGCAUCCAUUACUUGCAUUUAGGCCAUGCCUUGUACUCCAUCCAAACAAGAGUUUUAGAGCCAUUCUCUGUCAUUUAGAGCUCAUCUUGCAGCCUAAACCAACAACAAUAGAAGGCCAUGCUUAGUCUGCUAAAAUUGGGCAAAAAGUACAUGUGGUUCAUGCAACCCCAUACCAUACUUUACUGUCCCAUUGCAGAAUUUUCUCCAAUCAUUUUCUGUUUGGAUAAACACAUUGGACAGCAUCAAACGCAGGAAAAUGACUUCAUCCAAUAAGGUCAUUCAGCCUUACUCUGGCCAUGUCCAAAACACAACCUGUCAUGAAAAAGCCAAUGCGGCACACAAACAAAGGGCAAACACUCAACACGAGGGUUUUUUUGAAAAGAUGGCAAGGGAUUUUAAAAUAACAGGGUAAAUCUUAAUCCCAUUUUUCCUGCAUGAAAAUCCAAGGGCAAUCGCCUCACAAAACUAUUUUGGCCAGGCAAAUGCAUAGGCAUCUGAGUCAAAAAGCCCCCUCAUUACAUUUUCCCUCCUAAAAACGAAGCAGAGAACAGCAUGCAAAGUCGUUUACAGCCUUUAAGCCAUCGUUACAGCAUACUCCCAUGUUCCACUUGUGCCAAACUUAGCAAAUGGUCAUUAUCACUUCAUUUAGCCUUAAGCACCAGGUUUAGCAUAUCCAUUAGCAUUGUUAACAGAUAAUAUAACAACACUUUUCUGUGCCUUCAGAACCCUAGUGAGACACAGCAGCCACAACAGAAACUCUCUCAUUUUCCCAUUCAUUUCACGAGUUUGAUUUUUCUGGCUCAAACACCAAAACCCUUGNNNNNNNNNNNNNNNNNNNNNNNNNNNNNNNNNNNNNNNNNNNNNNNNNNNNNNNNNNNNNNNNNNNNNNNNNNNNNNNNNNNNNNNNNNNNNNNNNNNNAGUCCCUCGGAUGUUGCCUUCGAAUAUAUGAUUUUGUCCCUCGAUGACCCUUCGGUGUAGCUUACGGUUAAAUGAUGAUCGUCCCUCCGAAUGCUAGGGUAUCCUUACAAAUGUUGCCUUCAAUGACUAAUCGAUGACCCUACGAUGACCCUUUUACAUCCAAAGGAUAAAACUACUUAUUUCUCAAUAAUAAGGACGGUUCUACCCUCACAAGGAUAGGAAAU
rnacentral:lncRNA from 1 species